AAAAAAAAAAAAAAAGCUAGGCAAAUAUUUUAAAAAGAAAAUAUAUAAAUUAAUGGAAAACGUCUAUGAUUUUAGUUCAUGAAUUUUAAAAACUAGGAUUACAUCCUAAAUUUAAAAUUUAAAUUUUUUUUAAAAAAAUAGAUUUAGGGAAAAAGGUGAUUUUUAGAAGCUAUUCUUCUAAAUUUAAAUGACAUGUAAUUAUUUAAAAUAAAAGAAUAAGAUUUAAUCCUUAAGAUUAAACUAUCACAAAAACAUUAACAAGAAUUAUAAUAAAACAUUAACAAGAAUUAUAAUAAGAUUAUUUUUUUGUUCUCAAUUUUGUAUUAACAAUUAUAUGAUUAUUAUAGCAUGAAUGAGAGUUUUAGGGGGAAAUUAAUUGAAAUAAUCAAAUUUACCUUUAAGAUACUUAUAAUCCUAUUUAAGAUUUAUUAAUGAGAGUUUUCAUGUUUUUUAAUAAUUAUUUCAAAUAAUAAAUAAAAUAAAAACAUAAGUGAAAAUAAUCAACAAAAUUUAAUAUUUCACACUAUAAUAAUCAAAUAAAAAGCAAAAGAAUAACACAUUAAAUUCAUCCCUCUUUAACUCAUCUUUAUUAACCCUAAAAGCUUGAUUCCAUAGCAUAUUAAAUACAACAAAAUCUAUAUCACUAAUCUCUAUGUACUAUCAAUGAUCAUAGACUUCGUGACAGUACGAUUGGAUACUAAUUAUGUUGAUAUAGUUGAUGUAGUUUUACAUGGAUUAUAAUUCAUUCAUAACUCAUUCUAGUAGAUAAAUUAGAACUAAAAGGGUUACCUUAAACCCUAACUAUUGAACUAAAAAAAAAAGGAUCAAAAUAGUUCUUAAAAUUUGUUGUCACAAUUAGGUUUCGACAAGUAAUUAGACACUAUCGCUCAUAAAACCUCCUAACAACUGAAUCCUAAUUAACUUUGUGAUCAUAUUUACACAUUGUUCAACUAUCCCUAUACAUUAUAAUAUUACUCUUAAGCUCACAAAUUGUUCAACAACUGAAUCCUUAAGCUUAUCUCAGUGGUUCUUAAGAUUUAGGUUUAAGAGACAGAUGGAACAUUGUUGAAAAUUUAAGAAAUAUAAAGAGUGAGAAAGAAUAACUUACGGGAAGAGAUAGGAAGAAAGUCUUGUAAAGAGCAAUCACAGUAACAAGAAGGACAAGAAAUAUUGGAAGGAUUUUGGAUGAACAUAAACAACAAGGUCGUUGUAAUGCAAAUACCAAAACUCAUCAUUAUCAAACCAAACAUCAGCCGUUGUGCCCACCGGAAACCACCACUUCCACGACGGUGCAACAGAGCCAUUUAUCACACACUACUGAUUAUUCUUUCUUUAGAAUAACAACAAAGUAAAUGUUAAGUUCCUCCCAAAUACAUACAUAUAUAUAUAUAAUAUUAAGGAAUUGGAGUUUUGAUUUAAAAAGGAUGAUUUGGUUAUUAUAAGAAUGAUAGUAUUUUAUUUGGAAGAUAAAUUAAUAAGUUAAUUAACCGCAGAAAUUUGAAUUUUUUUUAGGAAAUCUUUUAUCUAUUUAGAUUAUAUAAAUAUAUAUUUAUAUCUUUUAGGAUAAAUAUAUAAACAUAUUUUGAAGAUAUAAUAUGCUUUAUUGAUUUCUUUUUAAUGAAUUAAAUUUAAUUUUACUUCCUAUUAGUUAUGAAAAAUUAAACUUUGAUAAAUCAUGUGUGGCUUUUAACCCUUCUUUUGUUUAUUUUUUCAUUCCAUUUUUUUUUUACUAUACUUUCAACUUCAAUCUUUUUACUUUUUACUUUUUGGAUGCUUAUUCUAUUUUUGUCGUUAGUUUAAAAACGUAAAACAAUAUUUUUUAAAUUAGUCUCAAUUUUUUAUUAUAUAAAAAUAGAAAACUUAUAAAAUAAUUUUUUAAUUAUAAAAAAACAUGGAUUAGUUGUUCAAAAUUUUGUCAUUGAUUAAUGUUUGAUAAGGUUUUAUACCUCAACAUUCUUUUGGUGUUUUUGGAAGAGAAUAGUAGACAUUAAAUUAUCAAACUUACACAGACUAUUAACUCAACUCAACCUUCACUCUAAUUAUCAACUUAAAUCAAAUUUACACCAACUAUUAACUCAAGCUUCACUCUAACUAUUAACUUAAAGGUUUCAUUCCAAUACUACAAGAAAUCAAAAGUUUUUCAACGCAGGUGUUUCUCGACGCAUCAUGGUGCACGUCAGGGAAAGAUAUUUUGUUCUUUUUCAUCUUUCAUAAUUAUUUAGACAAACUUUCGUUAAGUUUUUCAACAUGCAAUGUGACAUAUACAUGUAUAUGUUAUACAUUCAAGUUCAUUUAAAAGAGAUUUACUCUUAGAUUUAUAUAUAUAAUCGGGUUGGAUCGAACCAACCCAACUUUUUUGCACAACCCGAUGACCCAACUUUUAACUUCUUUUUUUUCUUCAAUUUUUCAAGCCUACCCAACCUUAUCCAACAACCCAUACCGUUACCGUUUGAGUUGGAUAAUCCAAGUUGGUUGGGUUACCUACUUCUUUUUAACACCCCUAUCUCUCGAUAUAAUAAUUCCAAAAGAUAUAGUAUGUUUUUUUAAAAAGUGAAUUUCUCUUGCAUAUUAUUCUUCCCAAUGGUAGCAAUUUGAAGAUGCUAAAAAAAUCUAUUGCUGGUAAAAAAUAUGGUAUCCAAGUAGUUGACAUUGACAAAUUUUUGCUUAUAAUUUCAAUGAUUCAAUCUCACCAUACACUUAUGAGUUGGGACAGAAAGUCCAAACUCAUUGAUGUUCAUAGCAAUGUAGAAAGAAAUUCAAAUCAAUCAAUCAUUGUCAUCUCUCGUUUGCUGCUGAAAUUCUUGAUCUGCAUUCUUCAAGAACUGAUCCCAACCACUUCCAGAACUCAUAUCCAAAUAAUCAAAUGGAACCGCCGUCUUCAACCCUGGUCUCACUGCCCUCCGGCACUCCACAAUUCUCAAAUCAAUCUCUUCCUUCUGUGCUUCUUCCAGUUCCUCCCAAUCAAACAACAAUGGAAGUGUAAACGCACCCCAUGGAUUAAAAUCCACUAUCUUAACACUUUCAUUUCUUGUCACAUACACAUCCAACGUGUAAUUCUCCAAUUCGAAGUUUGCUUUCACAUGGUCGAUGAAGAAUUCCAGUAUGACUUCUCUCAACCUCUCCUUCUUCUCCACUAAAGCAGGAUAGAACGUUGUAACCUCACGCUGAGAAAUGCCAAUCAGGUUCCGAUUCUUAACAAAGCAACGAAAUUCCAUCUCCGGCCGAAGGGAUGGGUACCACUUUCGUAGGGCGAGGAAGAAUUUGGAUGGCCUGGAGGAAGAUUUGUCGGUGCAGGAAUCAUAGGCAUGACAAAGAUCGUGAACAAGAGAAUCGGAGGAUCGAAGUAGGAGAGCAAUCUCACUGAAGGAAGAACACUUCAAUGUUCCAUUAGGGCUAAUCCAGGCAGAGUCUUUAGGCGCGCUCCAGUUCAAUUUUGGGAAGACGGAACCUCCGAGAGAGGAAAUGGAGUGUUUAACAUCGGAUUCAAGGUCAGGGAAGGAAGGAGGAGGGGAAGUGGGUUGGUCGGAAUCGUCAUCGGAUUCUUGUUUCAACUGGAAAUCCGGCUCGUCUACGGGAUUAAAGACUCUGUUGGGAAGAGCAUCAUCGUUGGAGAUGGAAAGGGGAAGGACGAAAGGGGAAGAGUCAUCGAGAAGGUAAUGGACGAAGGAUUCAGGAAGAUGGUGAAUUAAGGUUUUGAUAGAGAAAGAUUUGAAUUUGGGAUACCAUUCUUGAAUUUGGCAGAGAUUUACUUCUUCUUCCUUCAUUUGUUUGGUUCUCAAUUGUGAGUAGUUGUGUUGGUUAGGGCAGCUGCAUUGGGAAAAUAUGCGCUUGUCAACAAAUAAUAAACAUAGAAGGUUUGACUUAUCAAAUUUUUUUAACUUUUAUUGGAUUCUCAAGAGACUAAUAGCCACCGACAACUCAAGUGUAAUUUGAAACUAAAAACAACCAAAAGUCACCUACUAAUCUUUUAAAUAUCAAAACUUAUAAAAUGUGUAAUUGUAUCUUCCUAACUUAAAACAAAACAUUUACACUUAAACUAUCAACACAAGUUAAAAAUAGUUAAAAAUGAAUAAGUGUGACUUUCAAACUUAAAAUCAACUUAAAAGUCUUAAAUCUCACAAAUUCUUUCAAAAUGCCUAGGUGUGCCUUCCAAACUCAAAACCAAACACAAAAUAUUCAAAAAAAAGUGUCUAUGUAGCACUUAACUCAAAAAGACAAGUUAAAAAGGGGUUUAUGUAGCCUUUUAAAUGUCAAAACAAGUUAAAGAGUGUCUACCUCAAGCACUUUAAUCCUUGCACUUUAACCCUCAAAACAAGUUAAAACUACUCAACUGUGACUUUGAAACUACUAACCAACUAAAAAUCACCUUUUAAAUGUCUUGAAUCUCAAAAUAUCUUACAAAUCUCUACUUGUACCUUCCUAACUCAAAAUCAAUCCCAAAAUCUUUAAAAAGUUGUCUAAGUGGCAUUUUAACUCUCAAAACAAGUUAAAACUACUCAAGUGUGACUUACAAAUUAAAAACCAACUACAAAAUAUCUAAAAAGUGUCUAAGUAACACUUUAACUGUCAUAACAAGUUAAAACUACUUAAGUAUGACUAAAACUCAAGCCUACAAAAUAUAUGUAAGAUAGCCACGACAUAUUACAACUAAACCAUACAAUAAAUAUGAAACAUAUGCAUGAUUGGCUAACAUAGCUGCAGGAUAGCUACAACAUACUACAACUAAAGCGUAUAAUAAGUAUGAAAUAUAUGCAUGAUUGGCUACCGUAGUGGCAUGAUAGCCACAACAUAUUACAACUCAAGCAUACAAUACAUAUGAAAUAUAUGCAUGAUUAACUAUCGUAGCUUAAGGAAAUCCACACAUAAUAUCAAUGGCAACCUAAAAGGUUUCUUAAAAGUGUGAAAGUAUCAAUAUAACUCUGAAAACAAGUUAAAAAAUGUCUAGGUAACGCUUUAAAUCCUAUUACAAAUUAAAACUCCCUAAACGUGACUUUCAAACUAAAAACUAACUAAAUCACCUAAAAAUUGUCAAGUUUCAAAAUGUUAAAAUGCCCUUCCAAACUCAAAACCAAACACAAAAUCUCUAAAAAGUGUCUAUGUGACACUUUAACUCUCAAAACAAGUUAAAAAGUGUCAAUGUGACUUUCAAACUAAAAAUCACCUAAAAGGUGUCAUAACUCUCAAAACAACUUAUAAAUUAUUAAUUGUGACUACCAAACUCAAAAUCAACCACAAAAUCUCUUAAAACAGUCUAAGUGACACUUUAACUCUAAAUUUUUUUAAAAAAAUACUGAAGUAUGACUUCAAAAGUCAACCAACAUGAAAGUGUGAAUCAAAUCAAAUGUGUAAGUUGUACAUCUUACUCUCAAACCAAUCUUAGAAGUAUCCAAGAAGUGCCUAAAUGUGACUUUUAAACUCAUGACCAGCUACAAAUUACAACUCUGUCACACUUUGACCAUUAAAACACCCUAAAAAUUACCAUUGUGUCUAUCAAACUCAAAUUAAAGAUGCUUACUAAAUACAAGUUUUGAAAAUAUAGUGAUCCUAGCUCAAGCAUUAUUUCUUGAUAUGUGUAUGACUAAAAUAAUAGAAAAUGGCCAACUACAUAGUCACCAUAAACAACAUUAUGAAAAAGGAUAAAAAGCCUCACUGAAACCGACAUUUCAUAAGAUUAAUAAACAAUCUCCAAUUAAUUUAAACGAGUGAGAUAAAGAGAGGCUACAAAGAUUUCCACAAUGACUCAACUAGAACCAAUAAAACAACUAAAUCCAAAAGUUACUACAAAGACAAAGGAGAUUGAUUCUACCUAUUUUGCGAUUCGACGGCAGCAAGACUGGAGGCGUAUGGACGACGGCGGCAGGCAGGCAGGAGGGUCGGGCGGCUGGAGCUGUGGGCAGCACGAUGGCUGACGUGAAGAAGCUUCCUACAGGGCUGAGUGUCUUAUCGUGGAGAACUUCGUGAGAAGGAUUGGAGUAGAGGGAGAGAUGGAGAAAAUGGAAGAAUUUCUAGAAAAGGGGAAAUUGGGAGAAAUCUAGGGCUUUUAGGAAAGGGCAAAUGUAAAGAAUAAUUUUUUUUAAAAAAAGGAAGGUUUUAGUCACGUCUUCCAAAUAUUAAAUAUUUCUCACCAAUACGUGACCAUAGAUUAAAAUAAAUGUUGAUAGAAAUGAUUAUACAUUAAUGUUACAUGAAAAUACUAUUGAUUAUACUUUCAAUUUGGUAUACCAUUCGCUUGCAAAUAAAAUAAUAUGAAUGAUAUGUUAUACGCUUUGUUAUAAAAUAUAUCAUUUAAAAGAUAAGUAUGUUAACAAUAAUAUCAUCGAUUAUACUUUUUUUUUCUUCUAAAUUUGGUAUAUAAAUCACUAACAUAUACGAUAUACAAUUGUUACAUUAAACACCAAACGAUAAUUAGACGGUUCAAUUUUUUGUAUAUUUGAUAUAGUUCAUAUAUAAAAUGAAUGAGAUCAUAUUUAUAUUAUCAAAUUCGAAGUUUCGAAUAUUAGUUAGUCCGACUUUCGAUAAUAAUAAUAAAAAAUAAAUAAAAGUGAGAUUUAAAACUUAGCUUUGGUAGAAGGAAUGAAUAGGAUAUAAAUAAAGUUAGGAACUUUUGGCGUUGUUCAAACUCCAAAUCUUCGAACAUCAUCUUUGACAUCUGAAAACUUCGUAAUCGCUUAAGCCCACAGAAUACAUUCAUUCACACUUUAAUUUCUCACAAAACCCAAAUCUCCAAAUUCCCAUCUUCCAAUUCUCAAUUCACAAUUUGAAUCCUUUUUGAAGAAACAAUCAAAACCCAUCAAUUUUUUUUUUAUCCCAAUUCAGAAACCGAUGCGACCAAACAUCGAAACCCAUCAGAAUCACACCCAUCGGAAGCCAAUCUCCAUCCUCCCGAAGCGCAUAAUAUUGGUCCGUCACGGUGAAUCUCAGGGUAAUCUCAACUCUGCAACCUACACCACAACCCCUGAUAACAAAGUACCAUUAACAGAAGAAGGUUUGAUUCAGGCUCGAAUUGCCGGUACUGAGCUUCGUAGAUUGUUGUCCAAUGAUGGAACGAACCCUCAUUGGCGAGUCUACUUCUAUGUUUCGCCCUAUGAGCGCACCCGAUCCACACUCCGUGAGAUCGGGCGUGCGUUUUCUAAGAAGAGGAUUAUUGGCGUUAGAGAGGAGUGUAGAAUCAGAGAACAGGAUUUUGGGAAUUUUCAAGUGGAGGAGAGGAUGAAAGUUGUGAAGGAAACGAGGGAGAGAUUUGGGAGAUUCUUCUACCGAUUCCCUGAAGGAGAGUCAGCUGCUGAUGUUUACGAUCGCGUUUCCAGUGAGUUUCUCUGUUUUUCUUUGAUUUUCAUUCUUACGUUUCUGAUUUGCAAUUGAGGAUUUGGGUUUGAUUCUUAUGGAUUGCUUGUUGAAAGUUUUGUUUUUGGUUUCUGAUAUCUCUGGUUUAGGGAAUUUGGUCAAUUAUGGUAUCUUUUAGGUUGUUUUAUGUUUUUUUUACAUUGAAUUCUUAUGUAGUUAUAUGCCCUGUUUGAGAAAUGGUGCAAUGGAUUGUUUGUGUAGAAGCUGACCGAUGUUUGUUUGUUAUGUGAGUUAGCUUAAUUUGGACUUGAGUUUUGUUAAUCCCAUUAUCUAAAUCCGGGUUUGGAGAACUCACCUUUUAUGCCAUAUGCUAAUCUCAUAUAUUUCCAUUUUAACAGAUGAUAUUGAUUAAACUUUUCAAUUUAAGGAGUACGAUAAAUUUGGGCCAUGGGUAGAUGAUUUCCUGACUAGCAGGUUGAAAUUGUGUUAGUAAAGAUAGAUUCUGGAAUUUCUGACAAUGAAUAAUUAAGAGAGAAGAUUGCUGGUAGCCAAAAGGCAUUAUUAGGUUGUGUGUCCCUACUGUUUAUUUUACCAAGGAUUUUGUUGCUAUUUAAAGAAAAAGGUGUUGAACACUAGCUUUUUAUCUGUAUUCAACUCUUCAAAUAUUUUAUCUCUAAAGACGAUUUGAAUUAGUUUGAAAUAUAUGAAGACAAGAAGAUGGCGGCUGAGAACAUUGGCUUUAGAGAAUAUAAUAUAUAAAAUGUUUCUUCGAUAUUGGAGAUUUGGGAUUUUCUACUAUCGAAGUGGAAAGCUUUUCUUUCCAAUGGAUCAUCAAAAGUUCAUUCUAAUAACUUCAUAUUAUACUAAAAAAGUAGAUAGAGUAGUAGCUGGAAAAAAGUAAAAAAAAACAAAUGAAAGCUGCUUUUCAGAAAAAAGAGAAAUUACCAAAAGUGGCCGACGCUUGUAUAAUUUUUAACGGCCAUGUUCAAUAGUUUCUCUAAUUAAAAUGGUAGAUGAUUGAGCACCAUGUAUUAGUUUAGAAGUCUUCUUUAUGAUUAGGGGAUCGAUUUCUUAUCAUGUAAUGAUGUAACAACAUUGAUGUUUCUUGUCAUUUGUCAAUGUCUUAAACUUCAUUUAUUUCAGUAGCUUAGCUUGUUUAGGCUCAAGAAGUGUUCAACUGUUUAUGUAUAUGAGAUGAAUAAUGGAUACUAAAAUAACUAGUUUGAGGAACAUAUUGGUUUUUUUUUCAGGCUUUCUCGAGUCCUUAUGGAGGGAUAUAGACAUGAACAGGCUCCGCCACAACCCUUCUCAAGAUCUCAACCUUAUAAUCAUAUCUCAUGGGCUAACGUCUCGUGUCUUCCUCAUGAAAUGGUUCAAGUGGACAGUCGAGCAAUUUGAGUACCUGAACAAUCCUGAAAACUGCGAAUGCCGGGUGAUGCAGUUGGGAGAAGGUGGGGAAUACAGCUUAGCCAUUCAUCACACAGAGGAAGAAAUGCUGGAAUGGGGGCUUUCUCAUGAGAUGAUAGCUGACCAGAAAUGGAGAGCAAGUGCUCAUAAAGGUCAAUGGAAUGAAAGAUGCCCCUGGUAUCUUCAUGCUUUCUUUGAUAACCUAGCUGACACAGACUGCGACGAUAGCUCCGAUGAACCAUGUCAGGAUCACGAUGAACUAGUUGAAUCUUUUCCAAGUGUAGUGGUCACAGAGGAAUGAAUGACAAUUACACUUUACAUUCUUUGAAUUUGAUAGGUUGAUUGUUGUCAUCUCUCUGAUUAUAGUGUUUUUGAUUUUGCUGUAUUAUUUGGUGUUUUCAGGAAAAUGUUCGUUCUUUCCUAAAUUGUUUAAGAUACAGGGAUCUGAUCUGAUGGGUCGAAAGCAGGACCGGGAUCGGGACCGGGGCCACAUUAAAAAAAAUUAGUGAUCAACGUAGUUAUAGCUCAUGGUUUGUUAAUUGAAAUGUGCAUUAUGAGGUUCACUUAGUAUGGAGCCAUUCUCAUUUUCUAUUAUUAAAUAUUAAAUACAAGCGUGAAGAGAUUCAAGGAUUUUCUAUGUUGGUUAUUUUCAGUAGUUCUUUUGUUAAUGGUGGAAAAAGAUGGGUAGAUUUUAAACAAACAUCUGAAAAUAGUGUUACUUUUUUCUUUACAAUUUAACUCAUAAAUGAAUAGGUAAGUAAAAAUUUACUUAGUUUUAGCACAAACUUGUUUGGACAAUGCUUUGAAAGCAAAACAUCCAGGAAGUGUCUCGUUCUCUCCAAGGACUUUUGAUGACGGUAUUGACAGUGUUGUUGAAAGCAGAACAUCCAUGGAUUAUAUCAAGCCUUGAUUGUUUGUCUUGAAGUUUUUUUUACCACUGUAAGAGACUCAUCAAAAUAGUGAACCAUCAAUCAUCCCUCUCUGUAAUACAGGCUGGUAUCGAAACAUGAAGAACAUCUUGUAAGGUAAUUUUUUUAAUCAAUAAAGUAGUUCAUUUGACUGUUAAUAUAAGUGAAACUACAACCAACCAUUCAAAUUUUCUCAUUGCAACAUAACCUAAGAUAUCUUGUUAGGUGAUGAACUAAGUUUCUGUUUGGGGAUUCAAACAUAGGGAUACCCUUAAGUAGGGAAGAAAGUUCCACCUUCAUGCAUAAGCAACCUUGCUCAACACUUGGCACCAAUUGCUUUUAUUGAUAUCUUAGGUUCGCAUUCUUUGGGUAUGAUUAACUAUUAAAAAGGGUGGGUUGAACUCUAAAGCAAAUCUAGCUCAAAGUACUUAGAAAUAGGAUUUUGUUUUUAUCUAGACAAAAGGCUAGGGUAGCAUUUAGCCCUCUAAGUUGGGUUGGUAAAAAAACCGACACAUCAUUUCGUUCCCUCUUAAUUAACGAUGGUGGUUCUUGAAACCACAUAUUUCUGGCAUUGUUAUUCAUAGUAACUCCUUCUAUUACUCUCUCAUAUAAUAAUUACUAACUCAACACUAUCUGUCGAAUGUCCAUUAGAAUCAUGAGAUGUAGGUGAGGUGAUAACCACGAGCAAAACUUGACCUAGUUGAGAAAUUUGUGGGUGCAUAUCCCUUUAAGAUCGAAGUGUUUUUAAGACUCUCAGGCAGUGUUUACCUAUUUGGUUUUUGUUUUCUUCUAACUUUCCAUCAUUAAAAUCUAAUUACAAUUAGGUUACUUUAGUUGCUAGCUACUUUGUUGAAUUGGAUUUGUUUAUGUUUGUGUUGGAGAUUCAAUACUUGGAAUACUCUCCACUUUGUUACUUGGUAGAAAAUGUGCACUUGCAUUAGGUUGAAAGACCAUCGUCAAAGCCCAAGGAUAGAAUCUAUUCAAAAUCAAAUAAUAUAUGUUGAGACAAAAGUAAUACACUAAGUUAUAAAUAGACCAAAUCAAAAUUGAGUAUUGUGAUUUCAUUGGAUGUUACAUAUAGUGUAUGUUUGUUAUAACAAUGCAUUAGUAGUCAAAUUUGUUUGGUUUAGGGAUAUGUGAUAUGAUGUCAAGUUUGAUAGGGUUAGGCCUUACAUGACAUACUUUCAAGAUAUUAACCAUUAUUUUACUCAUUUGUGUUGUUAUGUUUAUGAAUAGAUUGCAGUAAUGUGAUUCUAAUUUGAUAGGCAUAAUUUCUAAAAAUUCAUCAACUAUAGGUUACAUUUUUGUGGUAAAAUCAAAACCGAUUGAUGGUCACACCAAACCGAAAAACCAAAUUGAAUUCGAUCGAUUGGCACUCAAUUUGGAUUUAAGUUGCAGAAUGUUCAUAAACCAUAAAACUAGACUUUGAAUCAUAUUACAUUUUCAUGUCAGUACAACACCAGAAACUAUCACUGAAAAGUAACAUCCACUAUGUGAAUCAAAGUUUGUAUUAUUGACAUCAUUUUCCCAAAUUCAAGCUAAAAAGUACAACACAAGUAAUGAGCUCAAAUGAAUUACUUUAGUGAACCAACAAAUUAAAAUUUCAACUUUUGGUAGAUAGAGGGUUCAUUGCAGCUUGAAUUUCUUCCAAAGUUCUACCCUUAGUCUCAGGUACAAAUUUUGCAACAAAAAAAACUGUGAAGCCACAAAUGCUUGAGAAUAUGAAAAAGAUACCUUCCAAAGUGAAUAGAAAGAACCAAAUUAAUAAUUCAUAAGAUCAUUCAAUAGAUAAUUCAAAAGAUGAAAAUUUUGGUUUCUGUUUUUUUACCUGCUGAGCUCCAAUUUAAAAGAAAGUUGAAACUGUAGGAGACAAUCCAAGAACCUAGCCAACUCACUAAAGUAACCAAGCUGCCAGCCAAUCCCUUCAUGUUUAUAGGAAAUAUCUAAACAAAUAGAAAUUGCAAUGAAUCAAGUCAAUCAACAAGACAUUCUGUAAUAGAAUUUGUUUUAAAAGUUUAAGUCGAACAAAUCGUUUCUAUCUAAACCUUUCAUUUUUCAAGGACAAAAAAAAUUAAAAAGUCUGAAUCAAGCUUGUGACAACUACGACUUUGAAAUCACUAUUGUGAAGCUAGGCAAAGAAAAGUACUAUCCAACUUCAAAACAAACACAAAAUCAAUAUAAUGUUUGUUGUCAUUAGGUAGAAGGUCAUUCCUAACUAAUUUUCUAAAUCCAUACCUCUGACAUUAUGACCCAAGGAAUUGCUCCCAUGCCCAGGGAGAAAGAUCCCGAAUAUACCUGUUUGUAGAAAUAACCAAAUCCAAGAAAAAUUAUCAAAGGACCCAAAAUGAAGGUUAAUCAGUAUCAAUGACCCAUAAGGGAAUUAGAAUUUUACUUGUCCAAAAUAACUAGGCUCGCAUUUAAGUUAAUGUGGAUUAACAAAUAGUUGACAAAUGACCAAUGACAACAAAUCUACUGAAAGCUUGUAAAUAAAUAUUGUGCUUUUGCAUGGUCAAUUCUUUUUUUUUUUUUUUUUACUAGGAAACAAUUUCAUUGAUUGAAUGAAAUAUCCAAACAAAUUCAAAAGUAUGUUUUCCCAUGGUCAAUUCAUAAUUCAACGUUACCAGUACACCAGCAAGUGCCAUCAUGGGAGAGCCAGAUUGCCAUAGUUGGAGAUCCUGCAUUUCAAGAUCAGUACUCUUUUAGAAUAUGAUGAAGAAUCAUGAAAGCUCGCAUGCCAACCGGUUUCCGUUGCAGAUAAGAGAUCGAAGUAAACCUUAAAGAGGAACGAUAACGCCAAACAUAAAGAACCCAAGCAAGUUCCGGCUGCAGAAAUCUGUUUGAAUUCAAAGUUUUGAUUAGCUUGUUUGUGACUUCACGUCAGUAUAAACAUAAUUCACUUGCAUUUCAUUGUAUACCAUCAAAAGUGGCCGUCGUCCUGAUACAUCCAUCAAAACCACACCAAGAGCAGUCAUUGGUAUCUGUAAAAACAUUGGAAACAAUGAGAAAAAGAGAGGGUUCUUGUAAUCACAUUUGGGGAACGUGUAUAAUUUGAUAGAAAAACCUGAACAGAAGCCAAUGCUAUAGUUCCAAUAUUCCCUGAAAACCCUGUCAGAAUACAGAGAAUUUUCUUCUUUUAACCUGUCAAAUCUUGACUUAUUAUAAGAACAUAUUAAUGUUUGGAUUUUUGCAUACCAGCCGACGUGAAUAAAGAAGUUACGUAGAAUGCAAUGCCAUUAACACCUCCAAAUUGUUGCAGUACCAUAAGACCAAGUCCUACCUGGAAAAAAUAGCUCAAAUUCACCAUAUAGACAAAGGACGGACUUAUGUUUUUAUUAAAAUCUCCAUGAUUAAGCUUAAAAUUGAAGACUCACAAAGAGAGAACGUGCAUAUUGCCUUUGGAAUAAAUCAAGAACACUUGGUUCAGGGAGCUGUUUAAGCAAUUCUGUGUAUUCCUAAAAGGUUAGGAAACAAACAGAUAUGAAGCCAUUGUUCAAUAAAAAGAAGGACAAAGAAAAAGUAGAACAAAACAGGAAAAUGAAAAAUAUACUUGAAUCUCUAACACUUCUGUAGAAAUAUCUUUAGUCUUCCCUCUUAGCCGUUGAAGAGCAUCUUCACAAUCUAACCCUUGGCCGUUCUUUGUCUACAAACAAUACUAUUUUCUUGAUUAGAUUUAUAUGGUAGAUUGCUAUUAAAAUAGUUUAGAGUCAAUUACCAAAUCAUUUUGUUAAUUGUUCGUUUUCCAACCAGAAAAAUAAACUUGUUUACAAAAAGAUUACUUUUUUCAAAACCAAACACCUCUAAAAAUCAAAUCCUUGUUUUUACAAAAGUAGAAAAAGAAAAGAAUAAAAUUUAUCAGUAUCCAACCUUGUCUUUAGAAAAGUAAAAAGAACAAAAAAAUAGAAAACAAAAGUAUUAUCAUAUGGGACCUAAUAUUCACUUUUGAUGUCUCUUCAAACAAAUAUAAGUCAGAACGAGCUAUGAAUUUGACAGUGACAUACCAGCCAUCUAGGAGACUCUGGAGUGAAAGGAAGACCUACGAGUUGUAUUACAGAUGGAAUCGCUCCUGCGGACAAUCAAGACAGUGAGAAAAUAUUUCCCUUAAACCAUCUUCAUCUUAAGUGUCAAACUCAUGUAAGUAGAAACGUUACCAAUUAGAGCAAGAGUCCUCCAGUUCACAAAAGCUCCAAUCAGCCAUGUCAGUGAAACACCAAAACAUAUCAUCAACUGUACAAUCAACAUUAUAAGGAUAUUAUAUAUUAUUGAGAAUCUUGUGGGCAUUUUUCUAUUUGUUUGAAUUUUUCUCUUUUUACAAGUGAAGUAAUUUUGUACUCUGGAUGCAGAACUUAAAACCAACUAGAUUUUGCUAGAUGUCUCCCAAUGAAAAUUAGGUCAGUGAUUUCAAUUCUUCCCAUACCCCCAUCCCAAUGAAAUCAAGUAUGCUAAUUAAUAAUCACAGAUGUUUACCGUGAUAUAAAGUAAGGUCAUUAUUAGGGGAACACUGGGAAAUGAGUGUUUAUCUCUAUAUUUUAUCAUAUUUCACUAAAUAAUCAAUAAACAAAUUGUUUACCUUGUAAUUAAAAAUUACCAAAUAUAUGCCAAACAGUCCAAUAUACACUUGAAGCUCAUAAAAAAAUUUCAUGCAAUGGAUCUUGCCUCCUUAUUAGUAAUUAUUUACAGAGCUGAAGGAGAUAGUUGUACAAACUAUAAAAAGAUCUUGUUUAGUUUGGUCAUGGUGAUCUUGCCUUCCUGUAAAUAACUAUCCAUCCCCUUCUAUCCCAAGUCAACCUUACUAUGAAAGGCAUGUAUGCGUGUUGAUGCUCUAUAUAUGAAUAUUCAGCUGAUAAUUUUGUUUCAAACAUUACAACAGAAUAUUUACGUGGUAAGGUAACUCUUCUUCAAUGACAUAGAAAUUUAUGAUCAUUUGCACUUUACCUGAUGAACUGUUGUAAAUGCUCCUCGAAGUUCCUUGGGUGUUAUUUCUGCUAUAAACACAGGAACCUGCUUCAUUAGGUCAUACAUAAGCUUUUCUUUUUAUAUGCCAACAUUUGAGCUAGUGUAAAUAACAGAGUUGGAUUCUUGCAACAUAUACCACGUAAGAGAUAACUCCCAUUCCGAAUCCUACUAGUAUCCGUCCUAUAUCCAACCACCAAACAGCCUAUAAGUAGUCAGCACCAAGAUACGUGUGAGGUUAUUCAUUCAGAGUAACAACAAUAUAGAAAAACUCUGUCCAUAAAAUGAAAGGAGAGGAGAGGGAGGGAAGGAAAACUGGUACAUUUUUUCAUUGGACUUCAGAAAGUCCUAAUAUUUUAACAAUGUUGCAUGCAUUUGACUUUUUAAUUUUGUUAUCGAAUUUGUAGAAAAACAAUUCAGCUUCAUUCAUUAGCUCAACUUAAUUUGUACGACUGUGUCAAGAAGCACUUUUAUCAGAACUUAAUAGCAUGAUUUUAAUGCUUGCAUACUCAAGUGCUAAGUAUAUAAUGAAUCAAUUUGUAGAUAGUUGUAAUAUUUUGAAGAGUAGAGACUUGAAAGUCUAAAUUUUUCGAUCAGAUGAAAGAAAAAUCAAAAAGACCUUAGAGAAUGCUAUAAGAAACCACCCCAAGAGGCAAAAGAUCUCUGCAAAGCCCAUGGUCUGCUCACAAAAACAAAGGAAGAAGAGCAAAGAAGUUUAUUGAGAGCUUGAAAUUUCCAAAAAUGACUUUAAGAAAAAAAUAAGAAUGACCAAACUUACGCCUCUUCUACCAAUAUAAUCUGCCAGUUUUCCACUUACAAUAGCACCAAUCAUAGCUCCAAUCGUCAAUAUUGAACCAAAGAAUGAAUACUGUACCACGAAAUAACAAUUUGAGAACUAGAUAGAGAAUGAACAAACUUAUAUUUGUCGAAUCAUUAAGUAAGAUAUAUGAACUUACAUUUUAUUCUAACACCUGUUGACGAACUCAUUUGAAACACCUAUUACUCUAAUUGCUAAUAACGUGCCAUUGUCUUUAAUUAUGAAAAACCAACUUUCAUUGAGAAAAACAUGAAUAAGAACCGUACCAUUUUACUUAAUAAAGAAUCAAGCACCAAUUACAUAACAGGAAUAAAGAACACAUCACAUCAUAAAUGAAAGACAAAAAGCAUUUGUAAUUUUCAUUCACCUCCGAUACAGUAAGAUCCAGGUCGGUCAUGAUGCCAGCCUCAGAAGGUGAUGAAUAUCCAAUCUGAGAAAAAGCAUAAAAAAGCUUAUUAUCAACACAGAACUAUGGGUGCAUAUGGAGUCACUUCUUCUCAAAGCACUCUUGGAAGAAGAGUCUUUCUGGAAACCAUUUUAAUUAUGUUUAGAAUGUAGAAUUAUCAGAAACCACUUUAUCUAGCCAAACAUAAUAAAAAUUUUGAAAAGUGUUUUCAUUACCAUCCCAAACUUAUUUUUAACAUUUGGUGGCAUUUGGCCCACUGAGUUUGGUUAACAAGUGUGAGAUCGAUAUAUUGGAGUUAGUAGUUGGUGUUUGGGGUUGUGUUCUUCUAUAAUUAUGAAAAUUUGAUUAAAAAAGUAAAAAAGAAUUUUUUGGUAAAUGCAAAAGUAUAAAAGAAUGAGAAGAUGGAGUUGCUCGAUAAAAGUGUCACACUUGUUAGUAAAAAAGUUCGAGUUGUUAGCCACCAACUUAAUAAAUGGAUUGGCCAAAUGACCCCUCAAAUUGAAGAUAACUGACAAUUUACUAUAGCACUUGAAACUAUAGACGGCCUCUUACUGAGAAUUUAAUAUCUUAUGAGUUUUUCUCGACUCUGAAGUAAGUUGUUCCAUGAUAUUAGACAAGUUUGUAUCUUAAUUUUUUCUUUUUCUGACAAAACACAACAAAAGUAUUCCUUCUAAAAACAAUUUAAAUUAGUUUUACUCUAUUUAGAACUUUCAAAUUCAACCAUCAGUCUCUCACUCAAAACGAAAAUACCAUAUAUAUUUUGACAAUUAUAUACACUUUUCAUGAGUGGAAAGCACUUUAACAUCCAAAACUCAUACCAAACAUACCCUGAACAUUCAAAUCGAAAGUACCUAACAAUUUACAAACAAUCCAUUUUAUAACAUCAUCACAUUAAGUUCACAUCAACAGCUAGCAAGUUGAAUUGAAGUUUGCCUCUACAGAGCCUUUUUAUGAUGAAAAAAAAUGAACACUUACAGCAGUGCCAAAGACGUAUGAGCCAGAUACAGCAACCAAAGUGCUGAAAAUGAGGGAGAAAGUGGCGGAGCCAGUAGCCCGGCCGCCGCUGGAGCCGCCGUGGAAAUCAUGAUUAUGGGUUUCGAUUAAAGGACACAACUGGCCUGUCUCCUCGCUCUGUUUGACCAUUUUUGGAUGAGAAGAGUAGAGAGAUGAGAAGUUUAUGAAGACGACGAAUCUCUGAUUAGCAUCGGUGGUGGUAGUUGAAAAUUUUAUUGACUGUAACAAAUUUGGAAUUUUGCAACUAAAAAAGUUAUGAUUUUGGAUUCAUGUUAAAGUUUAAAAAAAAUGGAAAGAUUAUGUUAUUAUGUGUCAUAUCAAUCAUGAUUGAGAUAUCUUCGACCUCAAUCAUCAACGGGUAGAUGAGAUGAUUCUCUAAAACUUACUUUAAAGUCUGGUUGCUUUGAAGUCCGGAUUGUUUCAACGGCGAAAUCAAAGCUUUUGUCCAUGAAAUUUGAGGUUUCCAUGCUUCUAGACUUCUCUUUUUUUCAUAAAUUUGUAAUUAUAUUACGGUUCAUUUUGACAUAAUCGAUAUUGAUAUGUAUAAUGAGGCUUGAAAUCGUACUUUCGUUAGAAGCAUCCAUAUAAAGAAAAAAGAAUGUCAUAUUUCCUAAUUUAACUCCAUUGUUGUUAACAUUUUCGGUUCAUAUAUAACAACAAGAUUACUUUUGAAUUUAUUAAUAAAACUUUGAAAGUUCUGAACACGUUCCUUUUCUUAAAUAAAAUUUUUAAAUACAUUAACUCUACCAACCACUCGAAAAACUAUAAUGGGUUGGUUUGAAUUCAUAACCACAACCAAGUCGUCUAAGGUUGGAUAAAAUAACAAUCCGUACAAUCAAGUUUUGUCGAAGACAAGCCUUAAUGUUAUCAACCUAUACAUUUUUAAAGGAAACAACCCUCCAUGUCACUACAACAUCAUGGAGGAAAAUCUAAUAUAGAGAACAAAACUUGUCAAACCUCAAACAGAACUUGAUUACAUAUAUGAGGCUUAGAGAGUCCCCCGAUCGCUUCGUCAGAUCAUUUGAGAGUAAUCCUAGUAUCAAUGAGUGUUCUUAUGCUACAGGAAUUUUUGGCUCGCCUAAAUUCACGAAACACUCUGCUCGGGCCAUACGUCCCAACGCCGCAUUCCACGAUACAAGAUGGUCCAUGAACACAUUUACAUACUCUAUUUUGUCAUUCUGUGUUCAAAUAAAAUCAAUAAUCAACCACAGAAAUCUAACGUAAAUAACUUGAUGAUGCAAGGUGUAUCAAGGCCUCCCAAGUAGGCUAAGAGCAUAAUAUAAUAUGUAGGCGCUCGGUUAGUAAAAUAAAUAAGGUUAAAAUAUCAUUUCUGUUGGCAUACUUUGGAGCUUGUUCUAUUGUAGUUUACUUCUAAAUGUCCAGAUUUAGUCUAUGUACUUCCAAUAAAUAUUAAAAAUCAUUUCAAACUCAUUGUUUAUGGUUAACUUUUCAGAAAGAAAAACUCUUGGUCAAGUUAGUUUUCCAUUCACAUAAAUUUUGGAAGGGUGUUCACAUGGUGUCUUUACUUAGAAUGAAAUUAUUAUUUUCUUUACCAAAUAGAAUGAAAUUAUUAUUUUCUUUACCAAAUCUAGUAAAAGAGAAUUUCAAACAAACUAUAACGACUAAUUUCAAGAUUUAUUUGAAGUACAAGAGCAAAAAAUGAGAUGAGUUUCAAAGUAUAUGGUAUUUUAUUUGUGUAUAAAUAGAAUAUAGCAGCCAAUCAGGCAGAGUAUCAUACCUUGUAAUCCAGAUAGUAAGCAUGCUGGAGGAGAAAAAAAAAUGUUAUCAUGUAUGAUCUAUUCAAAUGAAGAAAAGAAACAAAUAUUUGAAGGUAGAAAAGUAUUUGAUACCUCCCACAAGUCCAAGCAAACGAUUGGCUGCGCAACAAAAUAUGGAGAAUCAAAUUUCUGAGAAUUAAAGAACCUUGUACACAAAAUAGGGCAUUUACUUACAAUGUCAUCCCAGAGAAUUGGGCUUAGCGCAUUCGAAGUCGUGAUCACAGCAAGUCGUUUUUCUUGUCUCUUCACUGAUACAAUCAAUAACAGUUCAGAACAUCUAACACUGUCAAGUGAUAGUUCACAAAACAGAACUAUGAAGUCAAUCUGAAUAUCGAUUGAAUCAUUAAGAGGAUACAAAAAUAAGGUAACAGCCAGUUCACUAAGUUAAGACAAAAUAGCCGUCAAAGAAAAGAAUUUUUCCAAAACUCUAGAAAUCUUGAAGAAAUCAUAAAUAUUGUCCAGCUGUAAAAAGGGAAACAAAAAAAUAGAAAAAUAAGGAAAAUAAGUGAGCGAGACAGAGAACAAGAUGGCACCAUUUGCAAAUUGGGUGAUUCAAAUAGACAUAGUUCUUUCAACCAAAAAGUACUUGCUAAUAAAGGUAUUAAAAAUGCACUUGUCAAAAAAAUGUUUAACCAAAGUCUGAUAACUUACAAACAAGCCAAACCCAGCCAGAACCAAAGUGUGAAAGAGACGCCAGUAUAAACUUUUCCCUGAAAUUGGUGAAGGAGCCAAAAUCUUUUUCAAUUUGUUGUAGAACACCAAGUUUGGGCAUGUCUCCGCCUCCAGGUUGCAUGGAUUCCCAAAAGAAGUCAUGAUUCCAGACCUGAACAUACAUAAAGGUAAUGAGCCUACACCUUUUCCAUUUGUAUGGCUUAAAAUUUUGCACUCUCCGAACUUUACUACACAUUACUAGAAAAUUUACAAAUGUACCAUACUUUUUUUAGAUUCAUUCUGUUCUGAGGAGAAAAAUAAAUAAAUUUCAUUUUUCAUACAAGGAUGUCGAAUGCACAGGAUACCGAACAUACAAAUAUUGGAUAAGAAACCAUCUUUAAUAAAAGGUAUAAAGAGAGGAUUUACAAAAAAGAAUGGCUGAUGCACAAAUACUACAUAAUAUUAAUACAUAAAAAGAAAACUCCUCCUACCCUGCACGAGUAAACUAAGUCCGUAAGAUCAGAAAUAAAAAUGCAUCUAAGCUUCCAUCCCAGGUAAAAGAAAGACUCUGAACCAUACAACCUCACACUCACAACCCAUUCACUGUGUAUUUGUUCUAGACAAUGUUGAACCAGAAGACCGAAAUCUCAAGAAAGGUUGAGGGUGUCCAGCAAUGCCACCACUGAUCUUGAUAUCUCAAGAUUUAGCAAAAAGGGAAAAAUUUUGUGUAAAGAAAAAGGGGACAAAAUGAUGGUCUUGAGAUUUUAGCAAUCAGGCGAAAAUAGGCAAUGAUAGUUAUCUCCUUUUAAGUGACAUAAAUACCCUAAAUCCGAAUCCAAUGAAAAACAAGUACUAUCUUCUCUGAAUUCUGAAAUACCAUUGUGCCAGAUAGCUUCUGAAAUUUUCUUAUCAAGAAAAUAGACCUGCAUGUAUGAUGGCCCAUUAAGGAUCUCAUAGUAUGUGACUUGCUAUUAUCAGAAGUAUGCUAUUAAACAUUCAAUUUCUAUUUCAUAGCCACCCCAGUCACCAUAUGUUCACUCUGCCUCACUAUUGAAAUAAAAUAAAGAUCAUCACAUGUCUUUCUUAUCAAUUAUAAAGGGAACAAUCAGUUGAAGUCAAGUAGCUAUUGAAAAUGCUACAUACUGAAAUUUGAAUCAUGGUUAACCAGUGAUAGAAGUUGUAUCAUAUGCUACAUGGCUUGAAUUCAACUAAAAAAGACUUACAUGAAGGAGUCAAUCAGAAUAUUAGAAAGGUUAAUAUUAGCCCUCAUAAUUUAAAGUAUGUCAUGGAUUAACAUUGAAGUACCUGGGCAGCAUUGUCGAACUCAGGUAAAGGAUUCCCAUUGUUAUAUGUUACUUUGAGAAGUUCAUCCAAAGUGUGGCCAUAUAGAAUAUCAUUUUGGCUCAGUUGUUUGUUCAAACCUUCAACAUAAUUACGGUGAUGUUUACCCCAGUGAACCUCCAAUGUCCUCCGACUCAUAUAUGGUUCUAAAGCAUCCUGAAUAUAGAGAAGAAAAUAAAACAUAGUGCUAUUAAAAACAGUUCAUAGAAAUAUCCAUUUCUUACCAGUAGUGCUGCAAUUGUGACAAAUUUAUAAUCAGUUUGGUAGAAAUUUAAGGGCUUACUGUGAAUCUAUGAUCCGAAAAUGACUAUACCCACAGAAAAGCUGGCUACAAGAGACAGAGGACAAGCAAUUGACCUAAAAAAUUGGAGAUUUGAAAGGACCCCAAUACGCAUGAAUUUAAAUACAAUAUAUAAAAAUUUUGUGUGUGUAUGAGAGAGAGAGAAAGAGGAAGAAGAAGAACCAGGAUAGGUGCCUUAUUGAUUUCAUUCACCUUAUUUGAACUCUCACACGUCUAUUUGCUAAGUUUGAAAGAAAACAAUAAAUACUAAAGCCACUCCAUUCACAUUUAAUGCCAGUAUACUAAACAUGCUUUAUGUGGGUUCAAAUGAAAAUAAUGUUUUACUAGCUAUUAAACACGAUUUCUGAGUCAUAAUAAUCUUUUACAGGAAAAGAUUCAAGAACCAAAAGUAUAAGGGAAUACUGUAAUGGAAUGGCACAAAUUGAUUUUUAUGCAAGAUGUCUUUUGGUCUUUCAACAAGACUCUUGAAAGUAAAUAAAAAAACAUAAAACGUAAUUUAGCAACUCUAACUUUGAAGACCGUUACUAUGCUUGCUUCUAAAACAGGCGUGCCUAAAUAUCUGAAACCAUCAUGUGAACUCUAUGAGCAACAAACAAGUAUCUGCAAGAAACAAGCCCUAAAACAUGGAAUUUUAGUUGCAAAAUAAGUCAGCACAUUAUUAGAUUGGUGACUUACAAGUUCAUAAGGGGGUGUCUUCAAGCCAUAAUAAGCAACGACCUUCAUUCCUCUUGUGGUUCCAUCAGAGUUUCUCUUCUGCAAUUUACUCUGAUGCUGCAAAGAACAAGCAUGCAUCACUAUCAAAUAAAAUGUUCCCUCCCGAAGGCCUUUUGCAUGAAUACGGAUAUCAACAGUUUUCCAAGAUGUGACAAUUGUGAAAUAGGAACUAAUACUUACAGCAACUCUUUGGCAGAGUUUCAUCAAAAAAUAAAAAAUAAAAAAAUAUAUCAAGUACUUUUUACUUACAAUAUAAAAUUGCAUCUGUUGUAAGAAAAGUCCAAAACAAAAACGAAGAGAGAGACGAAUAGAGAUGAACUACCUCGACAACAUAAAAGUUUCUCUAAAAAGUAACAAGUGAGUAUAAAUCCAAGAAUAUCAAAGAGAAGGCAAUGUACCAAGUAAGGAUGCCUGGUGCUCUUUAACUGCUGAGAAUAAUUGGUUAGCAGAAAUGGAGAGUUAACGUUCAGAGAAUUGCAGCAAGAAAUCAUUGUAUUGUAUCUCUACCAACUAAAUAUUCAUUGGCUGCUGCAGCCUGCAAAUCAUAACUCACUGAAUUCAGAACACAAAAUACUGAUGAAUAAGGCUGUUGAGAAAUGCUAUAGAUGAAAGUAACAAUAAUCUUAGAAAAAUACUACACAACCCAAAGUAGCCGGCAAAAAAUGAACCUAUGUCAACCCAACCCAAAAAAAUCCUUUAAAUAUAAGUUCGAUCAUUUGUAUAUAGUCUCUCAACCAAAAAAUUCAUAUUCAUUUUCAAAUUCUGUUCCCAAUGACCGUUGAAAAGUUCAAAUUCAUACCAUCCAACAAAAAUAGAACAUCUAAAAUUGAGAUUUCAGACAACAUAAAAUUAUCAAGCACACCAAAUAAUACAGCCAAAUAAACUUCGCUAUCCGCUCUAAAUUGUUUGUGUCAAUAUAUAUAUUUUUCCUGAAACUAAAUUUUUAGUUGAUUGUGUUGGGAUUCAAGCAAUGCUUUUGGAGUUUGAAACUAAAUUUUUAUUUAACUAAACAAUUUCAACACAAGUUCAAAAUAUUUAACCUACCAAAGUGUUAAGCAGAAAACAAAUUCAACACCAAAUCUAAAGUGUUGGGCGGACGACAGGGAGGCAGAGAAAAUUAGGAAAGACAGCGGUGGGCAAGCUGGACAGUGUUGGAGAGGGAGCGGCUUGCUUAAAGUGCUAGCAACUGGACACAGAAGGAGUGAGGGCGGCCGACUUGAAGAGCAAGCGAAGAGGUGGGCGGCCAACUAUAAUGGGAGGAAGCUGAAGUGAAGAUUGAAGAAGAUGAGCGACUACGAUUUUUUUUAACACUCUUAUAAUUCAUUCAAAGACCCAAAGAGAAAAGAAAGAAAGAACGAAAAUUAUGCAAAAUGUUACUAUAGACAUCUUUGGAUGGACGCUCCCAUUAAAUAUUUAUUGAAAACUAUAAUACAUCUUGUUCGAACUGUCUCUGUUUCAAAACUUACCAUAUACAUUAUUAUUAUAUUUUUGGAUAAGGAACAAUUUCAUUGAUGAAUAAACUAUCUAAGGAGUACCAAAGGAGAACAUAGACGAGAUUACAAAAGAUUUUUCCCAUUUGAUACAAUGAAAUUUAAGUUGUAACUAGUCUAAGUUUACACCAAAUGAGGGCCUUGAAAAUAGAUGAUUAAAGAACAUAUCAUCGUGUAUCUUCCCUACUGAACUCCGCCACUCGAAGUUUGUCUCCUUGCUUGUUCUCUUUGAAAAUUCUUACAAUCAAAAGAUUAGCUUUGACACUCCAACCCAGACACAUCAAUAACACAUAAGGCAUUAACUCAAUCAAUUCAUAUACUUUUCAUACUUCAUAACCAAUCAAACACAGAAAUUCCCAUUUCCAAAAAGGACCACUUCCAUUGAAAAGGAUAGAAAAUCAAGACAUCCAUCCUAACAUUUCAUCACCAACCAAACAGAUAAUGGAGUGUCAGCUUCUCAAUACAGUGACACUCUUACCCAGACGAAAAACACAAAAAAAGAGAUUGAAUGGAAAUAGAAAACAAUUUUCUACAACCCCAUAUGUUAAAUUCUUCAAAUAUGCAUAACCCAUUUCCCAAAAUCCAAAAAAAAAUCCAAAAGGUCGGUCGACUGUACCAGCAGGAAAGUGGAGUUGAGGCUAGUCGUUCACGUUCUCUGAGAAACCAAACAGAGAAAAAUGGGCACAGCUGAGAUGGGUUUUUCGUAUAGUUUUUGGAAAAUUACAGAGCUGCGGCCGUUGUUGAACUCAGGUUCAGUGUAAGAAGAAAGAAUGUUAUGUUUUCGCACGAUAUGCACCGGCCCAACUCCCAAGGAUAAGAAGUUAGGAAGAAAAUGUGUACUAAGACAAAUAGAAAUUGUUUACAAGUAAUAGAUGUUAAACAUAAACUAUUCAAAUGAUAUAUGAAUGCUUAAGAACUUUGUAAAAUAGUGAUAGACCCAAAUUUUAAAUAUAUAUAUACUUAUGAUAUAUUUACAAAUAUGAAAGUAAUUUUACCAUCCAUUGCAAUUAUUCUUAUGUACACCUUGAGUUAUGAGAAAAAUAUUACUUGGUUAGACCUUGAUCUUGAAUGAGUAAAAAUUUUGAGUUUCUUUUAAGCUUAGAUGAGAAAAUAAAAGGGUUGUCAAUUUUGUUCUCACUUAAAAACAUCUUCAUGAAAUUUCCAAAGGCAAUUGUCAAGUCAGUAUCCAUAAUUUGAAUCAGAUAUUAAAUUUAAAUUUAUGAAUUUAUCUUUUUUUUUCUUUUUCUUUCUUCCUUCCUCUCUUCGAUUUCCUUUGCUUUUCCCUUAUUCUUCCUCCUUUUUAAUUUUCCUAGUCAAUCUUCUCAUCUCCCCACCUUCUGUUCUCCUCUUUUUUCUUUCUUCCCCUUCUUCUUGUGUCUGUGCCUUCUCCUUCAUGGGUUUUGAUAUACACAGUUUUGUGUUGCAAUGCGAGGAAGAGCAAAGAGAGGAGACCCAGUGAGGGGGCCUAAGAAAGAGAGUGAGAGCGAAAAACCAAUUUGUGUGCAGAAGUAGCAAAAGGUAGGGGGGAAAGAGCUCAAUUUUAAAUAACAGGGCAUAUUUCAUUUUUCUCCUCAAUUUUUGCAUCAUCCAUCCCUGGACCCAGUAAAAUGCUCACCAAUCUAAUAAUAAAAAAGGAAAACAGGAAUACAUGGGUAUAUAUAUUUAAACCCUCUCAUUAUAAUAACUGAAAAGAAAGUUUUGAACAAUUAUUCCUUAGAAUUCUCUCCUAAUGUGAGAGAUGAACAGAACUAAAAUGAUGAAAAACAGAUUUGGCAUCUCCAAACCCAAAGCAGUUCCCCCCAGAAAGAAGAAAACUUGAGGGGAAAAUCAGCCUCCAAUUUGAAGGAGUUAAAUAAAAUUUCUGAAAACUGAGAGAGAAGAAAACCAAAAUUCCAUUGUCAAAACAUUUGGGAUUAUUGUGUUUAUUUUCAGCCUACAAACAAAGUGCACAAAGCUGUUAUCUGCAAUCUGCACCAACUGCUUCUUGGAUAGACUUGAAACCAUCUCUUUCUAAGCAUUCAGCAAGCUCCCCCUACAAGAAAAAAGACACAAUGACAAUUACAAUCAUAUAUAGCUUCUUUUCUUUUCUGUCUUUAUCCUUCUUCUAUAACCGGAUUAUCCCGCCAAAUCAAGCAAUGUAAAACUAUGUAAAAACGGUGUUUGAAAAGGCUAAAUUAGAAGUGAGCAUGGGGGCGCCAAAAAACCGAGCCUACAUCAAUUAAUUAGGGGAAGCGAGGAUGACGCCCAUUGGUGAUGGCUGGUGUGGGAUAAAACAACUAACCAAUAUACACAGACACACACACACACCAACCAAGCCGACCUGUUGAUCACUCGAUGAUAGCUCUUCCAAAGAAAUUUUCGGUUUUCCUUUUCUAGAAAAUCGAAGAAACUAAUUUUGAUUUACUGAUGAGUACUCCUAGACUAGAUACAACUCUAAGGCUUUUCUUCAAGACCAGUUGAGGCAUGAGAUUUAGAUUUUAAGGCUAUAUGAGACAUAAACCUUGAUACAAAAAAUUCAUUAAAAAAAAGGAAAAUGUAACUAUUAAUAUAUAAAAGUACAAAAAAUAGCCCAAAUCUACUAAUUGUCACGCUCUUAAACAAGGAUUGAAAUUUUUAUCUUCACCAAGAAUAGUAAGAAGUGGAAUAUCCAUCACUCAUGGCGUACAGGCAUGAGUUUUUAUGUUAUCCAGUUCUUCCAAAAUUGUUCACAAUGUAGAUGUAGAGACAUAUAUAAAAGACAAUACCUUUAUCUGAGGAAUCAAGGCAGGCCCACCAUAAGCAAAUGCUGUAUAAAGUUGAACAAGAGAUGCUCCAGCUCGUAUUUUCUUGUAAGCAUCCUCACCACUGUAUGAAUAAGUAAGAUUAUUAGAUUCGGUUCUGGGUAGGUGCUAAGUUCAUUGCAGAGGAAACAUUAAAAUCUGAAAUAAAAAGCUACUGUGGUGAAGAGAUCCAUCAAGUUUACCUGCUAAUGCCACCACAGCCUACUAAAGGAAUCUUCCCCUAAAACGGAACAUGUAUGUUUGUUAUGAAAUCGAUAAAUAAAAAAAGCGAGAAAAUGUAAACAGUAAAGAUUGGCAGAAUAUGCAGUUCACUGACAGUGUGUUAGCUACGCUUAUAGGGAUUGUAGACAGAGAUUCCAAUAGAGUUAGAGGGCUUGUACAUGCCACUUCUUUAAACCAUAGGCCCAAGAUCAAUAAGAUCCUCCGUGAUUGGUCAUUCAAAAUGUCAAACACAGAUUCAAGGCAUUCUAACGUAUAUCAAUUUCAAAGAAUGACAUAUGAUAUACAUGGCAUGGCAUCUAACGUAUAUCAAUUUCAAAGAUCGACAUAUGAUAUACAUGGCAUUAGAAUCUAUCAUAUGAACUGUUUGAAGUUAUAGUGUCUGAAGAACUGUACAUUGAUGAUCUAUCCUCUAGCUUCUCAUCAUAAUGCAUCCCUCACUUUUGGGCGUAGGAGAGGAAAGGAUGAAAAGGUUUACUGUGAACUUGAGAGACAGUUCAAAAUUGGCUUUAAUCUAAAAUUUCGUCCGAAUUUUAAAAUUUGAAACUAAAAUGGAGGAAGAAAAAUCUUGUAAGAUAUGGAAGAAGAUUAUCUUAUCUAGAAAAAGAUACAAAAAAGAUUAAAUAUAAAUAAUCUAUCUACUUAAACUUUGGUUCAUUAGUAUGGUAGCAAAAGGAUAAGGACCGAAUUUUCAAUCAAAAAGUUUACGCUUCAUGAGAUUCAUCAACAUACCCUGGUCAAAAUAUACAUCUCCUUUAAGAUAUUGGUGGAUAGGUUGAAGAGAGGCUUCCCACUUAAUCCACCAGCUUCAGCAGCCAAUGGAUUGUUAUCAGCAGGCUCCGGUCUUGAAACAGUUGUAUUUGUUAUAAUCUAAAACGAAAUUAAACAAGAAAUAGACAACACAAAGUUAAUUAACCAAGCAACAAAACUUUUAGUAGGACUUAAUGUUGCAAAUUUAGGAUAGCAUGUGUAGAAAGAAAAGAUACCAAUCCAUCCAAACGGAGGGCUAGGGCAACCUACAAUGAGGAAGAAACUAAAAAAUUAACAAAUCUGAGAAACAAAUGAAGAAUAAGAACAUACAAAGGAAGAGGCAAUCCACAUUCACAUACAGCUGCUAUAUCUUCGAGGUCUUCUUUAGACAAGUCAGGGGCUAUUUUCACCAGAAGUGGAGGAGGUCCCUCCUCACCCCAUUGCAUUUCAUCCCGAGCUUCUUGAACCUAGAUGAAAAGUAAAAGAUAUCAUGACAAGAACGCCUAAGAAUUAACUUCAUAAAUAUGUCGAGGCCCUUGGUUUAUACCUUACGAACAAGGUCCUUUAAUUGCUUCCUACCUUGAAGCACACGCAAUCCAGGAGUAUUGGGUGAUGAAACAUUAAUCACCUGUAAAGAGGUAAAGACUAUUUGAAUUUGAGGAAAAUUUAUCAAUUGUUAAAAUUUAGUUUUGGUUCAAUGACUAGAAGAAAACAUUGACUAGCAGUUCAUGAAGAAGAUUCAUAAAUUGUUAAAAUUUAGCUGAAGAAGAUUCAUAAAAGAACGUUCAAUCAUAAAAACUUCAUGAUAUGGAUCUUCCAAUGAUAAUUAACCAUAAGCCUAGCAGCUCUGUAGUAUUUAAUUUAAAUUCUUUUUGCAACGUAUACUUUACAACUUCAACGUAUAUUUUACAACUUCAGCAUAUCUUUUAAUAACACAUAGAGGAUGUACAAAAAAAAAAAAAAAAAAAAAGAAUUCAAACAGUUCUAUAGGGGAAUGGAAACAUCCAUGUGCAUAUGUGGUACACCACAGACCAAUCCGAUGGCUUUAUGCUAACAGAUAUUGAUACCAAGCACCACAUCACCUACCUUAGAACUAUAAAACAACACCUACCUUCCCUUUGUGUACCCUUAUUUGAUAAUAAUUCAUAGUAGAUCCUAUUAAUAUAAUUAGAUUAUUAUUAGGAGAUAUUAUUCUGGAGAUAUUAUUUGAUAUUAUUUCCUUAAGUGUAUUUCUCUAUGGUUAUAUAUAGGCUUGUAUCUCUAUUAAGUAAUUAAUGAAAUAUAGAUUAAUUCCAUAAAAUCAACAUGGUAUCAGAGCUAUAGGGUUUUAGUCUCCUUGUAUUCUAGCCGUCACAUCCCUGCACGUCUGCCUCCGUUGAUUCGUCGACGGAGGCAGAGCCAUACCCAUCAGUAAUCAAUACACAUCAUGUCUCCAAGUAAUUCGCUCUGCCUCCUAGAUCAAAAUCCUCGUCUCUGAUUCUGCUGCCGCCGCCACUACUCCUUCUGCCAUCACUGCUCCUUCCAUCCACCCAGUUCGUCGCACUCUCGACCCAGUUCGUCGCACUCUCGACCCAUAUCCGCUCUCCAUUCGUCCUCACUUAGAUCUACUUGUGCGCACAUUGCAAGCACCGAUUUGUUCGUGCAUCUCUGUUCGUGUCUUCGACUUCCAGAUCCGUGUUUUAUUUCAUCUUUCGCCUUCGAAUCAUACUGUUCAAGAUCAGACCGACCUGCCGCCGCCGCCCUUUACUCGUACCAGACAAUCUCUUUAGAUUGAAGACUCCCGAUCCUGAAGAGGGUGAAUCUUUGUUCAGAUCCAUGAUCCACCGCUCCGCUCCACUCACAGCCGACGACGCACAGGUUCGGCUUUGUCCGCUCUCCAUUUGUGAAGCUCGCCGUCAUGAAACGCAUCUUCUCUUUUUGCGAAGAACGCCGCAAAGUUCUCUAUCUACUCAACCUCUCAGUUCUCUUCAGUUUUCGUUCUGUUCAUCCAGAUUUCCUGUUCAGUUUGAUUCUGACUUGCUUUAGUUUAGUUCGUUCAGUUCCAUUCUGAUGACGAAACGCUCCUGCCCAAUUCAGACCACGUUUUCAUCCUGAUUUGAUUCUACUUUGCUUCAGUUUUGCUCUUUCAUUUUGCCCCCGGAGUUCUUGUUUCGUUCUUCCUAGGUUCUGUUAUAGAUCUCUAUACGAGGAUCUAUGUUUCUAUCCCAGAAGUUCUUCGUUUCGCUCUUCGUGGGUUUGUUUUAGCCUAGAAGUUCUUUGUGUGUUUGUUCUUCGGGUUUUUUAUUCUAUUCUAGAUAUAUUGUUUCUUUUCUUAGUUCUUAGCAAACUCAAGUUUGUGAUUUCAACCUUGAGUUUGAGGGAGGGUAUUAAUAUAAUUAGAUUAUUCUUAGGAGAUAUUAUUCUUAGGAGAUAUUAUUCUUAGGAGAUAUUAUUCUGGAGAUAUUAUUUGAUAUUAUUUCCUUAAGUGUAUUUCUCUAUGGUUAUAUAUAGGCUUGUAUCUCUAUUAAGUAAUUAAUGAAAUAUAGAUUAAUUCCAUAAAAUCAACAGAUCCAACAACUAAUAACUAGUCGUGCAUCCUGAAUAAGGCAUUCUUUCUUAUAAAAUCCAUCACAGUAUUUCAGAAAUCAAAAUUAAAAGCAAAUUAGCUGCCCAUAACUCUAACCUUUUGUAAUGAGCCAACCCAGAGUUAUCGAAGUACAAAAUACAGAUACAAAAGAACCAGUACCCUUCCAAUGUUAUCCUGUCAGUGAAUAAGCACAACUCCCAAGUAGAAAAAGAAAACUAUGAUCUCACUCCCAGUUCAAGACUUGGAAGCUUAGGGGAUGAAAACUAUUUCAAAUCUACAAAUGAAGAAGCAAUUUUAUUUUUUUAUUUACUUCCAUACAUAACAACUAAUCUCUUGUUAUUUUGAACAUGAUAGGAUAAAACAUGAUCGACUAAAUAACAUAUGACAAAAGCAGAAAAAAAUUACCAAGUAAUCAGCAUACUGAGACAAUGUAUGAACUCCUUGCACAUAGUCUGCAGAAGCAUCUUCACUAUUCUUGUUCUUUCCGAGAUUGACUCCAAGAAUCCCACGACCAGCUUUACCACCCUGUUUGACGUCAUCACUAGAGGAAGGUGAAGUACUCGAACUUUCAUCUAACUUUCUUUUUCCAUGCUGGGCGCCCAACCUCUUUGCAACAACAACAAUUCCUUCGCUAUUGAAGCCAUAUCUAUUAAUGAUAGCUCUGCCCAUUGAAAAAGUUUAUAUAUUAUAAAUAGAAAGAAAUAUCAAUGGGAUACCGAAGAUAGACCUGUCUCACAGUAGCAUGAAGCUCCAGAAAAUGAAAAAUAAAACCACAAAAAUACUAAGCAUGAGCGUUUAGACAUAACGAUAUUGUAACUAUUGUACAGUAUCUCGUCUUUGAAGCAAGGCUUUUACAUGUGACAUGGCAAAGUGAAUGAAAUCCAUUACCUACCCUUCCCCACGCAAUCGGAAAACACGAGGCUUUGGAUUGCCAUCUUGUGGAACAGGUGUCACAGAACCAACCUCCACAAAGCCAAAGCCUAAUCCAAGAAGACCAUCAACAGCCUCAGCAUGUUUAUCAAAGCCUGCAGCAAGACCUAUGGGAUUUGAAAAGUUCCUUCCCCAAACUUCAAGUCCUAAAAUCGGUGGAUCAAGCCUCUUCUCCCUUGGAACCCAACCCCGAGCUGCUGCUAAGACUCCUAGCCUAUGUGCAACUUCAGGAUCAAGAAGCGCAAAAAGGGGGUUCACCAGUUUUGUGGCAGAGAACAGCCAACCACUGCAAGAUACCAAAAAUAUGAAAUUGAAUUUAAUACUUUGAUACCUAGUUCAAGUUAGUAUGGGCAGUACCAAUAGAUAAUGCAAUGUUAACACAGAAUACUAAUUGCACAAGUGAUGAAAGUGCUUCUUCCUUAAUGAAGACCAGGGAAUAUAAUAACAUACCAAGAAGCACAUAACAUGGAUACAAUAUGACAUAGACACGGCACCACAACAUCUUUUCAAACAAUACUUAAAAUCUCACAUUUAUACCAAAAAGAAAAUUGAGAUCAAUGUGUUCAUGCAUCUAUAUGUUUGAAAUUUUAGCUUGAUGUAUUCUACUUGCAAAGUCUAUAACUUAGGUCAUAUAUUUUUCUAGUUAGUAUACUUAACAAAUGUUUGGUACAUGUUGAACAAAUGUUGAACCUACUGUGACUCCAUACAACUAGUGGCUAACACAUCCAUUGCACUAACAAGUGUCUAGUACAUGUCCAACAAGUGUCUAAGUAACAAAUAACUGACAUGUGCCGGAAAUAAACAUGCUAGCUAAAAUAAGUGUAUGUGCUUCUCAGAGAACAUAUUGUACAUUUAUUAUUUUUUAUUUUUUUAUGAAAUCAAAAGAUAUCUUUAACAUAAUAAAAUGCGUACAAACUAUAAAAGAGGUGGGUGUAAGUUAUACACUUAUACUUUUAACCUAUACUUAAAUAGCAUGAGAUGGUACACAGUAAACACAAGGCCUGGCAUUGGCAUGCAAUUUCAAAAGCUUUAACCUGAAAUCUCUUAUGCAUGUCACACAAUUAUCUAAAUGUGUCACCAUGAUACAUGGUAUGAAAUUCCAGUAAGUAGGCAUGCAUCCUACAAAGAUCUAAAUGUGGUACCAGAAAGUUGCUUCAUCCACAGUACUCACAUAUGCUCCUCCAGCUAUCACUAGGCCUAUGGUGGCUCCAGUUAGUAAUCUCCCCUACAUAUGAAGAUAUCUGCAUAUGGUCAGGCUACAUUUAAGAAGUAAGUAAUCUUUUAUUAAAGUUGGCCAUGACAUAUAGUUCCAUUACUAAUAACCAAUCAGGUUCCUUUUAAAAGCUUCAGCUACUGUCCACAUAUACAAUGGUUCACCAGCUUGUUAAUAACACAAUUAUUCUACAAAACAACACAUCUAGGAAAAAUAGAACUAAACUCACAAACAGGCCCUAAUAUUUCCAUUCCAAGUAUGUGGCUGCACAUCUACCACUCAUAAAGCUCAAGAAGUUUGUGAGGGAGAUAAUCAUGAAAAAUCCAGUAAAACAGGAAUGAGAAUUUGUUCCUUCAAUCUAACAGCCCAAAAGGGAUGGGAAUAAUGCAAAAGGUAAGCAAUAGCACAUACAAAAAGAAAACCCAUCAAAAGUGCCAAACAACUAACAACAAACAAAACGGACUCAAGUUCAAAAUAACAGGACCUUGUGGGUAAUUGUAAACAUCCUUGGAAACUGAUGCCCAAAUAGAAGUAUUAAACCUAACAAGUGAUCAAAACAUCUAAAAUCUUUCAAUGUGCCAUAAACUGUUAUUGUUCCUUCCACGUUCCAUCCAUAAUCCCCAACGGAUUAAAAAGAAGCAAUAUUGCCACAAAAGUAUCCGACCCAUAUGAUGAAAGAGAGCCCCCCCAAAUUUAAAUUGAAACCAUCCUGAGACACAAAUUUGAAUUGAAACCACUAUAGUUCGGAUGCAGCUUAACGAGUAAGUGACAUUUCCAAAAGAACCAGAUAAUGAGAAGCCUUUGUUGAGUAAAGGGAAACGAUUAUCCUAUACAAUCAGUAAACGAGGCCCUGUUCUUUCUAAUUAAAAAUAAAUAGAAAAAGAAAAAGAAAAAAACAGAGGGAUCAUUUGAAGCUCUUGUACACGUGUGCUCAACCAUAAGCCUCACAACACCAACCAAGCUACCUCAACAGUUGAGACUGGAACUAUUCCCGCACUUGCCACUCCCGAACCUUUUCUAUCGAAAUUUAGAAGUAGGCGCUUCAAAGUAAGUCAAAGUCUUGUCCCUAAUUCCAUUUAUUCAAAACCACACAGUGGACAAGAGCACAUGUAACAAUAAACAUGAAGCAUCAAGCUUAUGACCAACAAACCCAAAAACAAAGCAAAACAUUAGAACCAUUCCAUUCAUGAUCAAGAAACAAAACUUUUGCUUCUACCCACAAAAUUCUCCGCAAGAGAGAACAGUGGAAACCGUCUCGUUAAGUAAACUUGUUCUAAACUACACAUUGAAGCAGAGCACGCACAAAGAAAUUUCAACGCCCAUUAAUUCAAAAGCAAUCAUCAAACCACAUAUUGGUAAAAAAAACAAAAUCACACGCACAUACCCAAAAGAAACAAAGAAAUAAAACCCCAUUUCAUCGAUUAUAACUCCCUUCAUUCUAUGCAUCAACGAACAUCAAACAGAAAUAGAGAGUCAGUACCUUCUUAGAAGUGUGAGGGAUCUUAUGAACGGUCUCAGAAGCAGAAGACCAGUGCCUUGCACCUUGGAAGAGACGUGAAGCCGCCCCUUUACAGAUAGCAUCUCUUAUUAGUUUUCGAGAAGCCAUAACCGCCAUGAACGAAUAAAACCCAAGAACAGAGAGGAACAAAAGGGUAAGAGAAUAAGAAGUGUGUGCAGAAAUGGAGAAAGAGAGUGCUAAAUGGCGGGACUGUGAAUAACCCUCAUAAUUCCCACGACUUUCAAAUUACAAACGGUGGCCGUGAUUGCGACGGCGGCGGCGAUGAACGCCAGAAAGAGUUAAUUUUGCACAAUGCCCGUUAAGCAGCUGGAAGUUAUUCCAUUUGGGUUGAAAAAGUUUAUUCCCAUCAAUCAAGAUUCCUCCAGUAACGUUUAUGAUAUUUUUAUAAAAAUAACAUAAUGUAUUCCAUGCAUAAUAUUAAAUUCUUAUGCCCAUAUUUUUUUGAGUUCUCAUAAGCUCGGUAUUACACAAGCCAUAAACUCAUAUUUUCAUUACAUCUUACAAAUAUAUAAGUAUUAAAAUACCAUUCAUAUCAAUAUAAAUAUAAUUUACCUAAAUAUAACAAAAUCUCAAAAUAGUUACGACUCAUAUAACAAAAUAAAAGUUUUAUGAUGUCGAUCAUGUUUUAAAAACUAUUUUAGGUUAGUCUUCGUCACGUUUGAAUUUAGUGCGGUUCCGAUUUCUUCCUUCUUCUUUUCUAUCUUCUUCAUAGAUGGCAAAUAUGGACAGUGUUCUCCUUCUCUUCUUCUUUUUUUUGCAAUUCUUCUUUUAAUUAUUAUUAUUCAUUUUCAUUAUACUUCUGUUGUUGUUCUCUUUAUUUUCAAUCAAUCAUCAAUCUUGUAUUAUUUUUUUUCAGUGUGUUGUGAACAGAGAUGAAUUACACAAUCGUUUACCGUAGGACUUUUCAAAACCAUCGUUUAUCAUGAAUUACGAUAUCAUAUAUAAUGAUCUACAUAAUUGUUUACUAGGGUUUUUCAAAACUAUCAUUUAUCAUGAACUUAUUAUUGGAACGCGGUUGAAUUUUAUUAAUGUUAUUUACAAUUUUGAUCUUCGGGUUUAGAGAAAUACAUUAUAUAAACUCUUUAACGCUAUUAGUCCCCAAAGAUUUGUAUUUUUGACAUUUUCUUUCUAAUAGAAAAGAUAAUGAAAGAUGACGUAGAUGAAGAUGAUCUCUUUCCUUAUAAUGGAAUUCAUGAAAAAUUCUCUACCCCACAACUCAUAUUUCAUUGACCCUCGCUUUCAGAUGAUCGGAGAAGAUUGGAAAGGGCUUUCUGAAGUAGCUCUCCUGUGUUCUCUCUUUUUGUUUUGGUGAGCGUAUAGUAGCUAACACAUUGCAAAUCACUGUGUUGAUUUUCUACUAUUUACAUUUUCUAUUUAUAUUUGAUUGUCGGUUUCAUAACUAGUACAAAGUUGACGAGGAAUCAUAUUUGAUUUGAAGGAAAGAAGAUGAUCGGAAACCAUUUGUAAGAGAUAAACAUAAAGAAACAGUACAUUGGUUGGGUGACACUCUUACAAAAUUUCUAUUUUUAUUUUGUUAAAUUGUUCAUGUAGAUAUUUAUGUUGAUGGUAAUUUUGAAUAGGAUCACGUAUUUUUUUACUUUUUUCUCUUUAAAGAUAGUUUUCCACGUUUGAAUUGUCGUCUUGUGUUCGUAUUUUAAUGGUCGGUUCACGAGGACCUUCAAAUUCAUUGUUUGAAGGGUAGUCAUUGAACCCAUUCCUUUUGGCAUAUAACUUAAAUAUUUAUUAGAAGACUUAAUAUCAAGAUGCCUGAGAUUGAUCAAACUCGUAAUAUCACUUGGCAGUUCUCUUAGCUCGAAACAUCCACGAAUGAUAAGUGUUUCCAAAUGGUACAGUUUUGUAACUACCUUGGGAAGGAAAUCAAAAUAACAAUGAGUAAAAUUAAUAUAUCUCAAAUGUUUCAUCUUACCAAUGCACUUGGGAACAUGUAAAGAAAACUCAAAAUCCAAUGUUCUUAACCGCAAAUGAUUAGAGAAGUCGAUUUCGAUUUCAUCACCAUCAUAGUUCUCACAAGCAUAAUUCAACGUUCUCAAAUUCUUUGCCUCUAUUAAUGAUUCUUUAACGACUUUCCAUCUUGUCUUUGGGAUGAAGGCCGAAAGUGAUGACUCUGACAAGCAGCUAAGAAAUUUCAGGCCUCGACGUAAACUUAAAUACCAUAAGGAACGAGACCAUGUAGAGUCUUCACAAAGUGUUCGAUCGAUAGAUCUUUCCUCUGUCCACCCUCGUAAAGAUGCCUGCAUAAAAUCGUGCGGAAAUGAUGACUUUGACAGAGCAGUAAGAAAUUUCAGCUCUCAACGUCAACCUAAAUCCCAUAAGGUUCUAGACCAUAUCAAAGCUUCACAAAAUGUCCAGUCGAAGAAGGAAACUCAACUCCAAGUAGUGUCAUCCCUUGGCAAGGUGAGAGAACAGAACAAAACGCUAAACAUAGGAAAAUUUCAUAUCUGUUUUUAUUAUUAAAAGCAACUUGAAUGACUUUAAUUCUUCCAUGUUUACAUCAAGCGUCGUUCAAUUUUCAGGUUAAAGCAGUUCCAGAACGAAUUAAAGUUGUCAAACCAGCUGCAACUUCAAAUAAAGAUACUAAGUGAAGUUGAGAAUAGUGUAGCCAACUGGCCAUGGGUCUCGAGGGUCAAGGAUAGUGUUCCUCAAGUAUCCUGACUAUAAAAUGCAUUCACCACAAAUCAAGUCUCGCCUCGUAUUUGUUGGCCAGAGAAUGUGUAGGCUUCAUUUUGUUCGUGAAGGUCGCAAGACAAGUGCUACUGCAUGGAAAUUGAGGAUAAAUGGUGUAGGUAAUUAUACUCAUACUAACAAGUUACCCAUGUUUUCUUGCACAAAGAUGGUGUUUUGAAGCCGAUUGAAAAUGUUAGAAGAAGCCUGCCCUUUGUUAAAGUGGUACAUAGCUCCCCCUGUGUGUUUCUGCGUUUGUGUUCGAUUGCUUCUUAUUGCAAUCUUAAAAUUUAAAUAAGGUUUGAUUUAGGUAGAUGUUGUAAACCAAAUUGUAUAGAUUUUGUUGUGUAUCUCUGUUUUUUAUGUAGCCUCAAAGAGUAAUCCAACGAAACCAAAAUUGAUUCUCAAACAAACUAAUUUUCAAUCACAUAACAAACGGGUGGGGGGUUUGAGUUGAAAUUGAUGCUUGGAAAAUAAAUCGUAGAGAAAGAAAGUAAAGCUGGUAAAAAUCUUCAAUUGCCUCAAAUUUGGAAUGAUACAUUACCAUUCAUGGAUUGAGUUUUAAAAUGAUUAUAUCUUCAAUUUAGGCUUGAAUUAUAUAUUCCUAAUAAUUAGUUGUUCUAAUCUUUGUGUAUUAUUAAAUACCCCUUAUUGUGUAUUAGGGAGCCACCUAUUUUUAUUCUCCUAAUAUUUUUUUAAAAAACAAUAUAUGUAAUAAUGAUUAAAUUUUUAUUUAUUUACUUUUGAAAAAAAUGUAAAAAAAAAAUAGUAAUAACAUAAUAUCUUAUAAUAUCUCAUUUUUAUUAUUUUAAAACUCAUAUAACAAGUAAUUGAUCGGAUUCGAAUCGUUGUUUUUUUUCUUAAAGAUAGAGAGAAAUAAAAGAAAAUGUAGAAAAAUUAUACUAUUUUUUUUUACUACUUUUUUCUUUCUUUUAUCAUCAUUUUUUUUAAUCCUUUAGUCUUUUUCUUCCCUUUAAACAAAUAUGGGAAAACUUUCUUUUAAUAUAUAGUCUAAUUAGUGGAAUAUUAUUUCACUUAUUUUAUGAGAUUAUUGUUUCAAAUAUUGGAGUAAUGAGGGGUAAAAUAAAACAUUAGUUUUAAAAUAAAUUAAAAAAUAUUUUAAGUUCGAGAUUUGAAAUUUGGCCACAAUUUUUCUAAAUGGGUGUUGUAGGAUGCUAAUACAUUUCCCACACACAAAUGACUUUCGAACUCAACUCUAUAUUUUGCGGACAAUUUUUUUAAAAAUCGUUUACUUUAUUUUGAUGUUCAAUCACACUGUAAAAAAGAUUGGUGAUGACUUCUAUUUUCUUUUAAAACUAACUCUUUUGAGAAGUCGGCCACUCCGCGUCGUCUCGAACACAUGGCGACAUACUAUUCAAUGUGUAUUAUAUCUCAUUAUCAAUCAAUAAUAUAUCCUCAUAUAUACAACAACAAGAAUCAACAAUCUCCAACUUAACCAUUAGAUGAAUAAUGAACAACAAAUCUUCUUCAAAAACCCAAAAUAAAAAGAAUGAAAACUUUGGAAUGAGUACUCAUGCAUGGACACAAAGUGAGAGGAGGAAGAAAGCAAAAUGGUGAGUAUUAAGAGGAAGAGUUGAUGAAUAUUAUGUCAAAUAUCUACACAUUAUGAAGUACUUAUCAAUUAAUCUUUUAUCUUAUAAUAAAACUAUCUCAAUUAUUCCAUUAGGCAAACUUCUAAUCCAAUAAAAAUGCUCACUAAAUUAAAAAUAUAUUCUUUUGUUUUGGGUAAUCUCUUUUUCCUUUCUUCCUGAUCAAUUCUAUUAAAGAAUUUAAUUAAGAAAAAACUUUAAAGUUCUGCAAAUUAUAAACAAACAUAAAAAGAAUAUAUACAGACAAAUAUAAGACAAAGGAGUGAAAACCAGGUGAGUGUAUUCAAAAUCUCCACCAACAACAAUACAAUAAGAAGACGUACAAAAUCACACCAACUAAAUAAUUGAACAAUUUGACAAAGUAAUAAUAGGAAAAAAAUAUAAAGAUAUUUCGUUGAAAACACAAUUAAUAAAAUAAAGAUAGUUUGAAAAAGUGAUCACACCCAAGUCAAUGAGUCGUUCCUUCAUGUUGUUCAUCUCUUCCAAAUUGUUUCUGAUCGUCAUCUUCUUUCCUUCCUUCACCUGGAUCAUAAUUCUUAAUUAAAAUUUCUUCAAAUUAGAAGAAAGAAGCUUUUUAAACGGUUUUUCUUUCUUAGUUUUUUAAAUUCUGUUUGAUUUCUCAUCCUUUAUUAAUAAAAAAUUUCAUCCUUUUGUGAAAAUAUUGUUUAAAUAAUUCUUAUCCAAUGUUGUUGAAGAAUACUUUUUAUUUAUUAGUACCAAAACCUUUGCCAAAACACACGUAAAGUUGGAGGGUAUAUGAAAAUAAUAUGUUUUUUCAAAGAUAUGCAAAAAAUUAUAAUUAUUGUUAGAAAAUAAAUGUAAUGCAUACCUUAGGCAAAUAAGAAUCUGCCUCUUACAUCCGACCAACCACGAUUCUGAAAUGUGAUAGCUAGUGAAGCGAGUUGACUCAUUUCGUGAGGGUAGAAAGUUAUAUUAGGACAACCAUGAAUUUCCAAUACUGAUAGUGAAGUGGUGAGAUGCCUAAUACUUUCAAUAGAUACCAAAUUUGGACAAUUAUAUAUUUGCAAACUUUGAAGAGUUGUCACACAUUGCAAACUCUUCGGCAAAUAUUCCAAAUCAGGGAUGCUGGACAACAUAAGUUCACGAAGACUUCCAAGUCCUUUCCAUGUCACAGCAUCAAGAGAAGAAGACAUUUUUAUAUUCUUGCAAUUUAUUAUCCAAAGAGACUUAAGAUGUGUCAUAUUGGAGAAUAAGUCAUGGAAUUGUAAAAACUCAAAAUCAAUGUCUUCAAUACUUAGAAAAGAUAAUGAUAUAGAUGUAGUUGAAGAAGAAGAAUCCUGUGAUCCAACAAUAAUGUUUGUAGUAGCCAUUUCCAUUACCAACUCAAAAACUUGCAAACUAACACCACUUAUGUUCAAUGAUUCCAAACGUCUAUGUUGUGGAAUAGUUUGAUCGAUGAGUUUCCUCUUCCACCAUUCUUUCAACUUAGGUAACCUAAAGAUUCUCAGUUUCUCAAGGGAGGGAAAGAAAGUUGUUAACGAAGAAGAAACAGAAUCGUUAUUAUCAAUAAACUCAACAUUUGGUAAAUAUUGGAGCUUAAGAUGUUUGAGAAAAGGAAAUUGAUCAAAUCGAGGGAGCUGUUGCAAUUUAUUACAGUUGAAAAGGUCUAUAAUGACCAAAUUGACAAUAUAAUCAAAUGAGAACCAAUUACAUAGCUUCACUCCACCGUAUCCAUUUAUGACUAUUUUCUGAAGAUUUGGAUGUGGUUUCAAGCACUCUAAAACUUUCUCAUCUUCAUCAUCAAUUUCAUAUUUCCUUUCCAAGUGAUACCAAUAUAAUUUUAACUUUUGAAUUCCAGACUUUUCUUCAAGGUGUUUAGCACUUUCUAUACCAAUGGGUUUGCAGAACUGCAAUUGUUGAAUACUUAAUGAUCCUCUCAAGUUAAUCAAUCCAUUAAGUUCACUUAACUCACCACCUUCAUUCUCUCCCAAUAUAAACAAAUUCAAUGUUUGAAGGGUAGUCAUUGAACCCAUUCCUUUUGGCAUAUAACUUAAACCUUCAAUUAAAGAGUUAAUACCAAGAUGCCUGAGAUUGAUCAAAUUCGUAAUAUCACUUGGCAGUUCUCUUAGCUUGAAACAUUCACGAAAGAUAAGUGUUUCCAAAUGGUACAGUUUUGUAACUACCUUGGGAAGGAAAUCAAAAUAACACCGAGUAAAAUUAAUAUAUCUCAAAUGUUUCAUCUUACCAAUACACUUGGGAACAUGAGUAGAAAAUAUUAAAUUCAAUGUUCGUAACCGCAAAUGAUUAGAGAAGUCGAUUUCGAUUUCAUCACCAUCAUAAUUGUGACAAGCAUAGUUCAAUGUUCUCAAAUUCUUUGCCGCUAUUAAUGAUUCUUUAAUGACUUCCCAUCUUGUCUUUGAGAUGAAGGGCGAAAUUGACAAAUGUCGAGUCCUUUUGUCAAUGAACUUAGUGUCAUCAGUAGCAAACACAUAAUCAUUUUCUCCAACAAAACAUGCAAGAUCAUGCAUGAAGUCGUGCAUCUUGAACUUCAUGAUCUCUCCCAGUUGGUUUUUACUUAUGUCUUGAAAAAAUGAUCUUCCCAAGAGUUCUUUGAAAUAUUCAUCACCAACAUCUUCCAUUGCCUUCUUAUUAUGUGGUUGAAUGAAGCCUUCUCCCAUCCAUUGUUUUAUCAAAUCAUCUUUAUCAAUCUCAAAAUCUUUAAGAAACAAAGCACAAUAGGUGAAACAUUGCUUCAAACUGGAUGAGAGGUGGUUAAAACUGAUCUUUAGUAUGGAUUGAAUCUCAUUUUUCUGUUGCAUGAUUGUGUCAAGUUCGUUCUCCUUGAAUGACAACCAAUCCUUUUCUGACUUUUUAGAAUACAGAUAGCUUCCAAUUACUCUUAUUGCAAGAGGAGAACCUUUCAACUUUGCCACAAUCUCCUUACCGAUCCCGACCAACUUUGAAUUCUCAAGCAUCUCUGAUUCGUUGGAAAAUGCCAUUUUUCUAAACAACUCCCAAGAGUUGUCCUUGUCUAGUUCACUUAAAUCAUGGAACAAAUCUGUGUCAAAAAUAUGUGCAACUUGAUGGGUACGAGUUGUGAUCAAAAUCCUACUUCCCUUAGCUCCACCCAUAAGAAAUUUUUUUAGAUUAAUCCAUUUCGUCCGUUCAUCGUUCCACACAUCAUCCAUGACAAGCAAGUAUUUUUUUCCAUCAAUUUUCUCUCGUAGCAUACUUUGUAAGGUAUCGAGUGUAAGGUUGGGCUCAGGUCUCUUUUUUGUGAGAGAUUCUAUGAUCUUUUCAACAAUUACUUUGACAUCAAAUUCUUCAGAAAUACACACCCACAUUGUCAAUUCAAAAUGUUUAUUUUCCUUCAUAUGGCCGUAGAUAGAUUGAGCAAGGGCAGUCUUUCCUAAUCCUCCCAUUCCAAUAAUGGCAACCACAACAAUAUUUUCCUUUGCAAUAAUGUUGGUAUCCAAUAGAAAAUGUACAAUACAUUUCUUGUCAUCAUCUCGACCAAUUACUUCUCCUUCAAGUAUAAAAGAGCAAGUCUCUGAUCGUUGUGUCAUUUCAUCAUUUCGUAUCUCCCUUGUAUUAUCAAAAAGAUUGAAUUGAGUUUUAUCCUUAUCAAUAGUAUCGAGUUUCUCCCUGAUCUUUUUUAUUUUAUGAACCAUUUUCAAACGAAAUCUAAUUUGAUUAGAUUUUGAGAAGAAAAUACAUACUUGUUUGGUACAGUUGUUGGUUCUAUGUUUGGUCAUAACCUGUCUUUGAAAGGAUUCAUAGGAGAACUCAUCCAUCAAAUCAUCCAUAUCAUAGAAAGCAUCUUUUAGCCUUGAAACCCAUUCCUUCACAGCAGAACUCUUGUACUGCUUCUGUUCUGCGUCGUGAAGUACUGCUUGGAUGGCGGAAAGAGUGUCUCUGAGUUUGUCAAUCUCCUCAUGGAUACCGGUCCACAGCAAUCCAAGGUCUUGGAGUGCUAAAGAACCCAAUUUGGUUGCAAUAUUUGCUGCAAGGCUGAACAGAAUUGAUUCUGCCAUAGAUGAAAAUUAAACAAAGUGUGAGAUCUUCUUGUGCUAAGAGAUUUGAAUGAACAAGACUCAAAUACUCAUAGACAGAGGUUAUGAAAAGUGAUAAGAUUUCGUGUGGUAUCAUCGUUGCAAGCUGUCACUAUAAUGCCAUAAAUUUCCAACCAACCCAUUUUUGUUGACUUCAACUACCAUAUUAAUCAUUUUUUGGGUUUCUUUCAAAAAAAAAUGUGUGGUAAUUUUCAAUCUAUAUAUUCAUUGAUCAUGUCAAGUUUAGUAUACAAUGAUAUAUAAUCAAUGUCAAGUUUGUUAACAUUCUUGACUACUUCACCUUUUCUCCGGUUCAACUUAUCACAUUAUAUAUUCUUGACAAAUUGGAUUACUUAACGUUUUUAUUAUCAGAAUAAAUGGUAUGCGACUAUUUGUAUGAAGUUGCAUUGUUCUUUAUGUAAUUAAUCAACUUAAAGAGAAGACAUAACUAUUUUAAUACCUAAGCUACAAAUAAUAAUUGAGAAGCAUGUUUCUUCUCCAAAUUACUUGAGAGGAUUUUUUCACCAUCAUUUUUUCUCACAAUUUUUUUUUUUAAUUUUUUCAAAUUUAGCUUAUUUUCACAAAGCAUAGUUUGUUGCAUCUUAUCGAGAGUUGUUGCUUUCAUGAGAAAAUAAAUACGUUAUAUCUUGAGAGACAAUUAUUCUGAAAAUUUCAUGCACUAAAAUGGUUGAGUUGAAAUUGAUGUCUUGGGUUGUCGCAGUUUCUCCUGUCCAAAGAAUUCAUUCAUCGAACGACUAUCAUUACUUAGCACUAUGUAAUCUUCACCUCAUCAAUUUAAUUGGAACUGUGAGAUAAAUUGUCUCAAGAUUUUUAAUUGUUCUAAUUCAAUAGCAUGCGAGAUAUCAAAUUUACCAAAAAGCAUUAGGUUUCCUUGGGUAGAAUGCCUAAUUUUCAAGCACGUGUCUAAUUGAUAUUCAACAUGUUCAAUUAUAUGGAUUAUAAGUUCUAAAUUAAAAAAAAGCAAGCAAAAACUAAUCCUAUAAUUGAAUAAAUAAAUACUACCUCUUGCAAUUGUAGUAUUCAAUGUUUAUUAUUUGCCUCUUGAGUGUUGACUAUGAAGAAUGGAUUUUGGUUCAUCAAACCCUCCCUCAAGAAAAUAAAAAGAAUGAAAACUUUGAAGGAGUACUCAUCCAUAUGGACACAAAAGUGAGGGUGGGAAGAAAGCAAAGCCAAUGAGUACAAGACGAAGAGUUAGAGGAAUAAUUUUGGAAUAUGAAAUAAAUUAUAUUUCAAAAUUAAUUGAUGAAUAUAUAUUUGCCUCUUUCGGGUUUUUGGACUAGCAGACCCUCUCUUUUUUCAAGUUGCAAUGCUUCGACUAUUGCUAUAUAUUAACAUUGCUAGCUGAUUUCUAAUUUCUUUUGUAUUGGUCUUUUCUCCGACCCUCUUGUAGCCUUUUUGAAUCUUUUCUCAGGUACAAUUAUUGAUCUAUUAUAAUUAAGUGAGAAUGAUAAGAGUGUUAAGAAGGUGUUCACCUAGUGAAGAUGUUCGAGUACACCUACUAACUCAAUAUUUUUCUUUGUUUAAUAUAUAUUUAUAUUUAUAUUAUGUCAAAUAUCUAAUACUCAUAUUGUUUUGGGUAAUGGGAAGUACUUAUUAAUUAAGAACAAACUUUAAGUUUUUAAAAGUUUUGUUGUUUAAAAUAAUUUUUUUGUUUUGUUUUUGAGAGAGAGAGAGAGAGAUUGAUAUUUUAUUUAAGAUAGUUUUCUAAAUGCAUAGGAAGAGAGAGUGAAAAGGUGGGGAGGAACCUUCAGUUCCACUAUCAAAUCCAUUAGCUUCCUCACGAAGUAGAUCGAAGACUUCGCAGAAACUCCAAUUCGUAGUCAAUGGAAAACCCAAUUUUAAAUUUCCCUUCUUUUCGCCAUUUCUCUUCACUCUCUUACUCACUUCUUCUUCUCCACCACAAAGCUUACUGUUGUGAAAUUCAUGGCCAAUUGCCUCCUCCUUCCUCCUCACAAUCUAUUCCCAGUUGGAUUCCGUUUCCAUCCUACAGAUGAAGAGCUGUUUAAUCACUAUCUUAAGAACAAGAUUGUUGGUCGAGAAUCCCUCGUUCAAUACAUUCGUCAAGUUGAUAUCUGCAACUUUGAGCCAUGGGAACUCCCUAGUAUGUUUCUCCCUCUCCCUUUUCUUUUCAUCUCUUUGCACUUUUGUACAAUCUUUCUGAUUCUCUUACCCUUUUUUCUUCGUAGGUCUAUCAAAUGAUCAAACAGGGGAUCACCAGUGGUUUUUCUUUUCUGCUCAAGAUUUCAAGUACUCCAAUGGUCGUCGAUCCAAUAGGGCCACGAAAACUGGGUACUGGAAAUCCACUGGCAAGGACCGUCAAAUCAUGGCUCGAGGAACCAAAGUCUUGAUUGGUACUAAGAAAACUCUAGUUUUUUACAGUGGCAGGGUUCCUAAUGGGAUCAAGACCAAUUGGGUUAUACAUGAGUAUCAUCUUCAUCCAGACCCCAACCUCGCUCAACUGGUGAUUUCCCUCACUCUUUUGUGUGCUCUAAAUGCUUUUUCUUUCAUAUGCUUGUACUCUAAUUUCGUUUAUUUUGGGAAUUUGAAUAUGUUCUUUCAUGACGUCUCUAAUGUAGUUUUGAUCAAGAAUUUCAAUUUCAUGGAUAUUUUUAUUAGUACCCUUUACAUGUUAGACUAAAUAUACGAUAUUUGGAGAUAGCCAUAGACAUUUUAUGUCAAUUUCGAACUCUUCAAUUUAUGAAUUUAUGGAUAUUUUCAUCCUUGGAUUUUUUAUUAGUAUACUUUGAAUCUUCAUGUGUACUAAAGUUUGAAAUAUGCAGCACCUGACCUGAACUUUACAAUUUGCACUAUAUGUUGUCGGUCUAUUUUCUUUAGGAUGUUUAGGGUAUUUGGUUUAACUUUGCAAGGGUUUAAGUUUGAAAAUUAAUCAAUUUGGGAAUAUGUUUAGUGUUUGUCAUCACUCAAAAUAGUUUUUGAAACACUUUCAACGUGUAUUUUAAUCUGUUUUUCUCAAAAGAGUUCAAAUAAAAAUAACUUUGUUGAAAUAAAAAUAACUUUGUUGAAAUAAAAAUAACUUUGUUGAAAUAAUUUUUUUUUUCUAGACAAUUUAAACAUGUCAUUAGUUUAAUACUCCUUGUGUUGUCUUCUUGUUCUUGCAGAAGUCGUUUGUGAUUUGUGUCCUAAAGAGAAAGUUUGAGCAGAGUGAUGUUUUGAUGUUUGAAGAAGCUGAACCAAACGGUCUUUUGACUUCAACGAAUGUAGCCACAGGGAACCAAAAUCAAGAGGUUAGAAUUUAGAAAGAUUAGUCCCUGGACGUUGCCUAGUAAGGGCAACAUGGUUUGUAUGUUAACAACCUUAACAAUUAUUAUAUGUUCCAGACUCCAGGAAGUGGACAUUCAUUGUUUCAAUCAGAUCUCCAGGUUUCAGAUUACGGUGUUUCCGAAUUGGAUCCCCUUUUGUUUUCUGACCCUGAACCCACUUCAAUGGAUUUCCAAGUUAUCAAUAGCUAUGGCACUCUCAUAAAUGGACAUACCGAUGAGGAUGUUAACUCAGUUCUUGUUGAUGAUGAAAAUUGUUUUCAUGAAGGGACACCAAAUAGUUCGACCAGUAAUUUCAACUUGGAGGAGAUGCUUGACUUGAUUGAUGAAGAUCAGGGUGGUGGAUUCAGCGGUAACACUGGCAUAGAUACAGCUUUAAGCUGGAAGGUAAAAGAAUAUGAUAAAUUAUUAAUUUUACACAAAUAUCUCGUUGGAAAUCCUUGGCUGAGGAGAUUGAUGUGAGUUUGUAAAGACACAUGCAUAUCUUCUUCACUGCAAUUGCAUUUCUUGCUUAUAUUUAUGGAUACUAACACGCCAGGCAAACUAAAGUAUCUGUACUUAUUAGUUUAGAAGUUUUAGGCCUCCUGCUGUUAUUGCUCUUGUAGAGCUAAAUUAUCCAUAUUUCAUUGUGUUUCAGUAUGACCAUGCUUCUCCCAGCUUUUUUGGUGAGAGUGUCUGUUCAAGGAUACAAACUAAAAGUAUACCGAUGAUUAAAGAAUCUCGUAGAAGCCCACUCACUUCAAAGAUCCUCAAGUUCGACCACAGUGAUGACUCUGACAGGGGAACAGGAAACUUCAGCUCUCAACAUCAACCUAAAUCCCAUAAGGUUCUAGACCACGUAGAUACUCUACAAAAUGUCCAGUCAAAGAGGGAAACUCAACUCCAAGUAGUACCACGCCUUAGCAAGGUGAGAGAACGGAACAAAACAACCCACAUAGGAAAAAUUCUUGUCUGUUUUAUCCCUUAUAUGCCAUUUGAAAAAAAAAAUUAGUGUUUGAUAACUACUCAAAAUAGCUUUUUAAACAUUUUAAAUGUAUAUUAAAACCGUUUUUCUUUUGCAUCUCUCUCUAGAUAAUCGAAACAGACUCUUUUCAAUUUUCAGGCCGAAGCAGUUCCAAAACAAAUUAAAAUUGUCAGACCAGCUGCAACUUCAAAUGAAGACAUUUUUGUAUACCACCAAAGUAAAGUUGAGAAUAGGCGGUUAAAGUCAAUUGGCCAUGGGUCUCUUAAGAGUGGAGGAAAGUGCUCAUCAAGUAUCUUGACUACAAAAUGCAUUCACCACAAAUUAAGUCCAGCCUCUUAUUUUGCCAGAGCAUGCUUAGGCUUCAUUUUGCUCAUCAUAGUUGCAAGAGAACUGUUGCUUUCUAUGGAAAUUGAUAAUCAAUUUUAAGGUAAGUGCAUCCAGUAGCACUUUAAGUGAUAUUAAUUAAGUACAUAACAAUAUUUUAAUACUCACGAGUGGUGCAGGUAAUGUGCUCAUACUAGGAAGGUGCCAUGUGUUUCUUGUACAAAGAUAGUGUUCUUGAUGGAUAAAGGCUGAUUGAAAAUGUUAGAAGAAGUCUGCUAUUUUUAAAUUUUAAUACUCCCCCUGUGUAUUUGUGUGUUUGUAGUUGAUUGCUUCAAUUGCAAUCUUAAAAUUUAAAAAAGUUUGCUUUAGGUUAGAUGUUUUAAACUAAGUUGUAAGUUGUCUAGUUUUUGUCGACGUAGCUUAAGUAGUCUCGAGGAGUAAUCCUAAGAGAACCUUUUUGUAUCAAAAUAAUAAUGGAUUUCAUAUGAAAGAAAGGAAUACUCUUAUUUAUAGAGUUUAUUACUAACUAGAUAAAAAGGGAAUUCACUUAAAAUUUUACUAAAUCGUUUUUUAUUAAAAUCACGGAAAAAAUACUCGUUUGGUCAUUAGGUUUUGGAUUUAAUUACUAUUUAGUCCUUGGGCAAUUUUAGUUAAACAUACAUUGAUGACAAGGACAAUGGUAAAUUAAAGUUUGUUAUUAUUUCAAUCGUGUAUCGAUCAUUCUUCAUCGGAAGUGACUUUCUUAGUUUAAAGCAUGUUAAUGGUUUUUCGUAAAUUUUGAUGUAAACAAAAGGUCAUUUUUUAUUUAAAAUAAAAUUACCCAUUUUUCAUUACGAUCCCUAAAACGAGAUAAUCCAUACAAAUCCUGAGCUCCUAAAUCCUUACUUUUGCUUCAAUUGUUUCUAAUUCUCAACAAAUCAAUAUUUAAACUAUAAAAAUCUUUGAAAUCUUAUCAAAUCGUUAAAUUAUGUGUAUUCCACGUCCCUUUUAACUAGUCUUAUUAAAAAAAUCAUAGGAUUUACUUACUUUAUCAUUAUUAUAGCAUAGAUUUGAUCCAUCCAUCUUGACAAUGUUAGUUGGUGCCUUCCAUCCACAUGUGACAUAAAGAAAAAAAAAGAAAGAAAAAGCAAAAUAUUGCAUAUGUAUAAAAAGUAUUUAUGUAUGCCUCAAAAAAUGAAAUUAUUAUAUAUGAAUUUAACUAAAGGAUGAGAAAAAUAAUAAAUUUAGAAUUAAAAGAGAAAGAAAAGGAAAAGAAAAAAGGAAUUUAUAUGGUUUGGGCAUCUUCCCUAAGAUAUUCGUAUAUGUUGUCGUAACGUAAUAGAUGUUCCUUCCCUUUCCUCUUUCCUCUUUCCUCUUUCCUCUCUCCCCUUUCCCUUUCCCCUCUUCGUUUGUUGUAUGGUUAAAUUAUCUCUCACAUAUUUGCACAAUCAACCCCCCCUAAAAGUUUCUGAUUUUGACACCGGGCCCCUUAUCUUUUCACUAUUCUACUUCUCUCCCUUUAAUUUUCGCUUUUCAUUCCCGUGCUUCCCCGAUAUGGUUCUCUCGAUAACCAAAACAGCUAAAAUAUUUACAAAAUAUAACAAAAUUUUGAUUAAGGAAUUUGGAAUUUUAUUAGAGACAUUUUUAGAAAUAGUCAAAUAAAACUAAAAUUUUCUCACUGCCUAUCAAUACGACUCAUACAUGCAUAUCAUUGUCUAUCAUUAAUAGAAUCUAAAAUUUUGUAAAUAUUUCGUCAAAUUUGUCAUUUUUUAUAAUUCUCUAUUUUAUUAUAUAUAUAUUUAAAUAAUUUUAGUUGUUUUAUCAUUUACAAUAGUUUGUUUUAUUUUAGUGUCAAUCUCGAUGACAAUGUCAAGUUUUAAUUUUGCUAAGUUGUUAGUGGAAAUAUUGGUUAAAUGUCGAUAUUGAGAUGUAUUUGUGAGAAGAUUACUAAAAAAGAUAAGAAAAUUAAUUUAAAUUAAUAAAUAAAUCGUUAGCAUGUCCGUAUUUUUUAUAAAAAAAAUCAUCGUUAUGUUAUUUAUAUUAGAAAUAAAUAUAAAAUCUGCUUUUUUUUUCUUUUACAAUGUUUUUCGACGUCGUUAGUACAAGUUUGUGCUAACGAGCCAUUGUUAAAAUUUGACCUAAAAUCCAAUUUUGUAUGUAAAUAAUUAUUGUAUGAUUGCAUUUCUUUUCUUUGGGAAAGAAAUUUCAGAAGAUGUAGAUUUUUAUUUUAUUUUUCAUUUGAUUUAUAGUAGGAUGUCUAGUCCAAUAAUAAAUGUAUCCUAAACCUAUAUGAGACUUUGAAUAAAAUAGUUGUGAUUGAAAAUAUUGUUUAAUUUGAACCACUCUCUUCCUUUUCUUUUAUAAUAAACAACUUAAAUUAAUUUAAUAAUUUUCUUUUUUUAUUUUUGUGAUAAUCAACCACUUAAAAGUUUUGGACAACUAACCAUUUUGAAAUUAACAUUAUAAUUAACCUCAUUUAUAAUAUGUUGAUUUUUCCAUUUUUAUGUUGAAUUAUUAAUUACUAUACAAAAACUCAAAAGGAAUGUUGGAAUUUUUAUGUUUUGUGUUCAAAUUAGAUAUGACAGCUUAAUUCUAAUUAAUUAAGUAAUUAACUUAUAAAUCUAUUAUUAAAAGUAUUAAACCUAACACAUGACUCUAUGUUUAUAUAUAUGUGUGUGUGAAUUUCAUAUUGUAAAAAUGAUUUAAAUUCAUCAUAAAGCAUAUAUAAGAGAAAUUUAUUAACAAUAUAGUUUUGGAGUAAUACAACACUUCUUUGAAUUUGAAUUUGAUGUAGGGAAGUUAAAAUUUGAAUUUGUUACUGCAAUUUUGGUUGAUUAUAAUUAUUUUAAUUGGAUAAAUUGUUUCUCGUUUAAUCACUUCCGUUAUGUUAUUUCGAAUUUGGAAAAUAUCAUUCAUUUACUUGGUAAAUAUUUAUUAUAAAGCAAUCUCUUUAAUGUAAAUUAAAUCCAGUGGUACAAAAGGUCGCAAGUAUGGAGUGAUCAUAUAGACGAUAUGUUUAUGUAUUUGAAAGUGAUAAAUGACAUGAGUUCUUGAAACGAGUCUAUUGACUAAAUUUGCCGUUUUAGUUGAAUUAGAAAAUCUCAAAAACAGUCUAUUGUUUUUCUUUUUCCUCCAAAAUUAAAAUGUCGAUAAUAGCAAACCUUCUCAACUAAUUGCGUAAAUCACAUUAAACUUAAAACGUUAAAACUUAAUUACAACUCCCAAAGGUAGGGUUAUAAAAUUCAUUUAAUGAAAACAUCUAAUUUAAUGCAUAAUUUAAACCUAAACUGCCUAAUCUCAAAUAUGUCCUUAACUUAGAAGCUACAUUAAUGUUUUGAGUUAUAAUGUCAACUUUAUCAACACUCAACCCAUAGCCCAUAGGUUACACGUUUUUUUUUCUUAAUUAAGAAAUCAAGAGAUUGAAUAUUCGAUUUCGUUGAUUUUACGUGUUGCUGAGCAAAAAAAAUUAUAAACUAUUACGUAUUAAGAUUAAAAGACUAAAUUAGUACAAAAUUAAUGACGAUUAUAUACCAUUGUUCGAUAGUACUAGUAGUUUUCGUUCAUGCGAACAAAUUUUCAUAUUCUAUUGUUUGUAUAUUUUUAUGUAGUUGCUUAGGAUUAAUUAUACGACGAGUGUAUAUUUUAUUUAGUAGGAUUUUGGAAGAACAAUACGAUAUUAUUUACCGCAUUUUAAGUUAGAUUGUUUGUUUAUUUUAAGUGUUUUUGUUCAUUGUAAAAAACAAAGAAAAGUAAAAUUUAAGAUUAAAAAACUAAAACUGAAAUUGUUAUUAAACAAGAUUGAAACAAUUUUCUUGUUUAAAAAAUGACUUAGAAACGAGAUUAGUCUUAACUUCAUCACACAAAAAUUAUAAAUAGGUACGUACUGCUAACAUAUUAGGUGUUGCAAUUUUAACCGUAUACUUUAUAAAGUGUUGCAGUGUUAAUAUUCUAAUAAAUUCUCGCUCCUAGAGUAACUUUUCUCUUAUGCAUUCAAUCAAAUUAUAAAAUUUGGACUAAAUUAAAAAAAUGGUUCUUAUGGUUUGGAGAAAAUUAUAAUAUAGUUCAUAUAGUCUUAAAAUUUGCAAUUUAGUUUCCAUGAUUUGAUAACAUUUCAUAAACACUUCUUUCCAUAUGGACUACUUGCGCAUGCAUUUUAUAAACCAUAACGAUCAAAUUCUAACUAAGAGACUAGAUUUCAACUUUCUCCAAACUUUAGAAACCAAAGUUAGAAGAAAAUAACGAGCAUAGCUUCAUUGACAUAAAACAAUAUAUAUAAUCAACUUCGAAAUUAGAAGAUUGAUUUUUCGCCAUCCAUAAACAAAGUGAAAUAUAAUUUUCUAGUUAAAUAUCUCGUAAGAUGUAUAUGUCUAUAUAAAAACAAACGCUUAUCUCAUUAAGAAUUGAUCUUGUCUCUUCUUCAUGAAAAUAGUUCUUUCUUAUCAUUAAGAAACCUAUCGAGAAAUUCUAGAUGACGAUCAAAAGAAAAACCCAAUCCCUUGAAGACUAUAAAUCAUAUAAUUAAAAGAUGUUGACAUUUACUAUUUCAUACAAUUAUAUAACACUAAAAUCUUAUUGUAUGAGCACGAGUUGAAACUCUCACGUUGGGGGUUUACAAAAGUUUGAGUUGGUUGAACUUGCUAUCCCGGACCAACAUUCAACCUGAUCGAAGAAAAACAUAAAAACUUAGAAAUUCGAGUUGAGUUAGGUCGACUUAAAUUCUUAAAAAUCAAACCCAAUUCAAGCUAGUUUAACUCAACUAAAUCCAACCCAAUCCAACUGUUAGAAUUUGAGCAGUCGCGAUGGGAAGAUAAAAACAGGAGAAAAGCGAAAUUCCAGAAAUAGCCCGGAGGCAGGAGGGGGAAAAUGGUAAUUUGACACACAUAUCUAACUUAAUAGUGUUGUAAUGUUAACAACACAAAACGACCUGAUGGAGUCGAGACGGAAACUCAACAAACAAUUUUACAAAACUCCUUUUUAAUAAUAAUAAUUUUAACAAAAGAAAAAAACUUUAAUUCAAAAAAGAAAAAAAGAAAAAAAGAAAAAAGAGAUUUCCAAUAGAAAGAGAAAGGAACCGUGUCUGUGUGUAACCAGAGGUCAAACUCUCCCAAAACGACACCCACCACCGCAACCACCACCACCACCACCACAACCCCUAUACGCCACCCUUCCACUCUCCCCCCGACUCCCCCUUCUCCCCCUCCUUCUCCUUCUCCCUCGUAUGCUGAUUCCCGAUCCCCCUUCUCCUUCCUCCAUUUCUCCACUCACCUCCGGGUAAUCCAACCUCCCCCCCUUUCGUUCCUUUUUAUUAUGAAGAGCUACGCUAAGGUCAGCACCACCGCCAACAACAACACCUCCACCUCCACUAAUAACAAGCCUGCCAACGGAUUUCUCCCUAAUUCUUUGAAGUUCAUUUCUUCCUGUAUUAAAACUGCUUCUUCCGGUGUCCGCUCCGCUAGUGCUUCCGUCGCUGCCUCUAUUUCUGGCGAUGCUCACGACCAUAAGGACCAGGUUUCUCUUGCUUUUCUCUUUUACUUUCGUUUUGGAAUUUCUUACUUGUGCUACUGAUUUUGCAUUUUCCCUAAAUUUGUGUUUCGCUCUCUUGACGAUUCGUCUGGGGGUAAAGUUUGGUGAUUUCUGUGUUUUUAGGGCUUUUAGAGGAUGUGUUGAUGAUGCUGGGUUUUUUAGUGCCGUCAUUUUUUUUUUUUUUUGUGCUGAAUCGUGAAGGAUUAGAGAGAUUAAACAUUGGGAAUUUUUUGUUCAUCAAGUCUCUCCUUGAUUUUAGCUUCUGUAGAUUUGGUUUUCUCGAGGUUUCAGGCGUUAUCUCUCUCUCUCGAAGAAGAAAUUGAAAAUUGAGUAGAAUGUUAAUGGCUGGGUUUUUCUCUUGUGAAUGGAUAUGACCAUGGCUGGUUUUUGAUGUGGGAAGUUGGUAAUUUUAUCUGAGAAUUCUGUGAGUAUAGGAAUUCUUUUACUUCUUUCGCAGUCUUUGCAUUUUGUAUGGUCUGGAGAGAUUCUGUCGAUUUUUUGAAUUUUUUUGGGCUUCUACUAUAGAAACAUUAGAGACUUUGUCAUUGUUGCUAAGUGGUUUUACGAUCUGUUCCAUUUCUUUGGGUUUUUUUUUUUUUUUUUUUUUUUGUACUUUAAUUUUAAGUUAUGGUAGUAGUAGCAAUUUGAGUUUUUAGUUCUUUUUUUUUUUUUUGGUAUAUUUCCAAUGUAUGCAAUCACUGAUUUUGCUAGGAUAUUUUUGGGGGAGUUGGCAAGUGAUAGAGAAGAACCAUUUGGAAGAUUGUAUUUUUAGCUUUAUGUAGGUCUGUUUGAUUUGAAAAGGAUACGCUAUUUUUAGGGAAAAGAUGAGGGUUUUACAAAUGUUUUACGAUGAACUGUGUUCUUACACUAUUAUUGGUCCGUAAAUGCAAGUGCUUUAGAUUCUUGGGACUUCUUAAGAUAUUCAACAUUUUUUGAUUUGUUCUCUAUGCUCUAAUAUCAGAAUUGGAUUCCAUGUUUGUUAGAGAUAAAGCACGAGUUACAGGGAAGUAGGACAAGAAGUCCUACCGAGAAGAGAAGCAACAUAAUAUGAGGAAUUUUUUCAACUUGAGAUUGAGAACCUAUUGAGUUCAUUAGGAUCAUAACUUUUUAAAAGUUCAGAUUUACUUUUAUCAUAUGUAUAAUACCUUGAAUUUAUUUCUUUAUCAUUAUCAUUGAAUUUGUUUCCUUAUCAUUAUGUAUGCAAUUCAACUUGGAACUGCAAAAUAUUGUUUUGCAAGUGGAUAUUCUAUGAUGGUGGAUCUUUAAUUCAGCAUAGCCUAUUUUGUGUGGAAUAUAUUUCUUUUAUGCAGUACUAGCCCGUGCAUGUGUUCUUCUUAUGAUGCAACACAGUACCUGCAGUUUAAUAAGAAUUCAAAAUUGUGGUCCAACAGGUAUUAUGGGCUGGAUUUGACAAACUUGAGCUCUGUCCAUCCUUCUCCAAACAUGUGCUUUUAGUUGGCUAUACAAAUGGGUUUCAAGUACUUGAUGUUGAAGAUGCUCCCAAUGUUAGUGAACUGGUUUCAAGACGGGAUGAUCCAGUCACAUUCAUGCAGAUGCAGCCUCUUCCGGCCAAAUCUGAUGGUCAGGAAGGGUUUGGAGCAUCACAUCCUAUACUUUUGGUGGUUGCAUGUGAUGAGUCCCAGAGUUCAGGUUUGAUGCAAAGUGGCAGAAAUGGGUUGGUGAGAGAUGGAUAUCCUAAUGGUCAUUCAGAUCGCAUCACUCUCGCCCCAAUGGCUGUUAGGUUUUACUCAUUAAAAUCUCGCAGUUAUGUUCAUGUUCUGCGAUUUCGCUCAACUGUAUAUAUGAUAAGAUGCAGUCCCGAAAUUGUGGCUGUUGGUCUUGCAUCACAAGUAAGCUUAAAUUCUGCUCAUGAGUAUUAUUGAAUUCAUAAUUGAGAAAAGAUUACAUUCUCUUUUUCUUCUUAAACAUAAAUAGCCACUUCAUAACGCUCGGCAUACAAUUGUUUCUAUAAUUUAUAUUCUUUUCCCCAAAAUGUCAAAUGGAUGGAUUGCAGGGCUCUUGUAGUUAACUAAGACCAUUUUCUAGGGGCUUAUAGGAAAUAGAGAUUAUUUUCAAUAGGGUACAAAAAAAUUAAGACCACCUUCCGAUAGUUUUACUGCUUUAACAAUCAUGUGUUUCUCAUGAAUAUAAAAUUAGUUGUGAAAUUUAGUGUUCUCACUUAAAUCAUUUACUCCUUUUGCUUUCAGAUUUAUUGCUUUGAUGCUCUCACCCUCGAGAGUAAAUUUAGUGUUCUCACUUAUCCAGUCCCUCAAUUGGGAGGCCAAGGAACAUCUGGGGUUAAUAUUGGCUAUGGACCUAUGGCCGUGGGUCCUAGAUGGUUAGCUUAUGCUUCCAACAACCCUUUACAGUCAAAUACUGGCCGUUUAAGCCCGCAGAGUCUUACACCUCCUGGGGUAAGCCCAUCAACGUCACCUGGCAGUGGAAACUUGGUGGCUCGAUAUGCCAUGGAAUCUAGUAAGCAUUUGGCUGCUGGGUUAAUUAAUUUGGGUGACAUGGGUUAUAAAACGUUGUCUAAAUACUAUCAAGAGUUUGUACCUGAUGGUUCCAACUCUCCACUAUCAUCGAAUUCAAGUCGGAAAGUUGGUCGGCUACAUUCAACAGAAACAGAUGCUGCCGGAAUGGUUAGUCUUUUGAUUCAAGACUUUUAAUUUUUGCAUUUACAUUUCCACAAUAGUUAUAUUAUUCAAAAUAUUAUAUCUUCUUUUGAUAUUUCUAGAAGCAGUAAAAUAUAAAAGGACUGAUAUUUCUAAGUACUUGUUCUUUUAUUUAAUUAUUAUUUUCACUCACUUUUGGAAUUUGCAUCCCUUGAACACUUUUUUCCCUUUUCAUUACAUCAAUGUGGAGUUUGUGAAUAAAGGAUGCAUUCAACAAAAACCUACUAAUGUUUGUGAAUAAAGGAUGCUAUGCAUCUUGUUCGGUGAAUGACACUAAAUUUUUUUGAUAUUGGCUUGGUCUCCUUCAUUUUAGGGAGUUCAGUUAUUCACUUCUUAUAUGCUUUCUAUGGCCAGUUAGAGUAUUAUAAUUUGAAUGAUGAUAUUCUUUUUUGAGAGCGAAACAACUAUAGUUUCAUUGGUAUGAUGAAAUUAGAAAAACAAGUAGAUUGCCCAGGCCUUUGGAAUUACAAAAAAUGUUCCAAUGCCCUUGGAUGUAAGAUAAUGGAUAGCAAGACUCUUAAAGAAAGAGUAAAUCUGCUACAAGACAGCCAAAAAACUAAAAGACCAAGAAUGCUAAUAAACUUAAAGGAUCUUUCAUUGUCGUGAAGGUUGUUUCUUUCAUCCUUUUUGGUAAAAAAAAAAAAUUGGGAGGAGGGCAUUUAUAUUUAAUAUAGAUAAUUCUGAUGGUUUUCCCUCCAAAUUGCUGCUCUUUUUGCAGGUUGUUGUGAAAGAUUUUGUCUCCAAAGCUGUUAUAUCACAAUUUAAGGCUCACUCAAGUCCAAUUUCUGCUCUUUGUUUUGAUCCAAGUGGGACCCUUCUAGUCACUGCCUCAACACACGGUAGCAAUAUUAAUAUUUUUAGGAUUAUGCCAUCCCACAUUCAAAACGGAUCAGGCACCCAAAGCUAUGACUGGAGCUCCUCCCACGUGCACCUUUAUAAGCUUCAUCGUGGCCUUACAUCAGCUGUAUGCCCUUACCUUCUACUUUCAUUAUAUUUUAUGUGCUUAUGAGUGGUCCUUUUUAUUGCUGCUUUUAAUCCAGGUAAUACAAGACAUUUGUUUUAGCCACUAUAGUCAAUGGAUAGCUAUUGUUUCAUCCCGAGGAACUUGCCACAUUUUUGCACUUUCACCCUUUGGAGGCGAGACUGUUCUUCAAAUGCACAAUUCUUUUGUUGAUGGGCCUAACCUUAUACCAGCUUCAUGUGUCCCGUGGUGGUCAACUUCAACUUUUAUCACAAACCAGCAAUCCUUUUCUCCUCCUCCUCCUCCACCUGUCACUCUUUCUGUGGUUAGCAGAAUAAAAAAUUGUAACUCAGGUUGGCUUAGUACUGUCAGUAUGGCUGCUGCUUCUGCAUCUGGGAAGGUUUCCAUCCCGUCAGGUGCUAUUUCUGCUGUUUUCCAUAGUUGUAUACCACAGAAUCCGCAAUCUCCUCAAUUAAGUUCAAAUACUUUGGAGCAUCUGUUGGUGUAUACUCCUUCUGGUCACGUGAUUCAGCAUAAACUGCUUCCGUCAAUGGGGGGAGAAUGUGGUGAAACUGUUUUGAGAAGUCCAAAUGCUUCAAUGCAGAUGAAAGAUGAGGAACUGCGAGUGAGAGUUGAGCCUAUUCAAUGGUGGGAUGUUUGCCGAAGAGCUGCAUGGCCAGAGAGGGAGGAAUGCAUAUCUUCAGUUACUCUCAGGAGAAAAGAAACUGUCGAAUCUGCUGAGGAUACAUCCCACAUACAGGAGAAUCAUCUCGAAAACCAGGAAUUGGUAAAGCCAGACCGUUCUCUCUUGUAUCUAUCCAAUUCUGAGGUGCAGAUAAACUCUGGGAGGAUACCUAUCUGGCAGAAAUCCAAGGUAUUGGUCGUAGUGCCCUUUUGAAUUCUUUAUUUUUCAGGCAUCAAUUAAGUCAGUGUUCUUUCCUCUUCAUUGCAGGUUCAUUUCUAUACAAUGAGUUUUCCUGGCUCUAAUGAGCAAAGUAGCAUGAAAGAUCAUAUGAAUGGGGAGAUUGAGAUAGAGAAAGUACCUAUUCAUGAGGUUGAAAUAAAGCGGAAGGACUUGCUUCCAGUUUUCGACCAUUUUCGUGGAAUACAGUCUGACUGGCUUGAUAGGUGAUGAUAAUUGAGUCCACUACGUUGCUUUAUAUAUCUGGUGCCAUAUUCUUUUCAUUUUAAUAUCACAUGUAUUGGCUGGCAUAAUUUUCUUUUUUAUGCCUCACAUCUUAUUUUCUACGACAUAUUCAUGCCUGUAGCCAGCCAUUGAAAUUCUCUUUAUUGUUAAGAUAUAUUGCGAACUAAAUUGUGUUUCUCUCCUACCGUCAUUUUCUUUCCCUUUUUGUGGGUGUUGAUUGAUAUAUAUACACACACACAAAAACAACCAGUUUCAUUGAUGAAAAAUGAAACAAUACAGACAUAAAGAACUAAGCCCAUAAAAAGAAAGGGGAUCCCUUUACAAGAAGGGACUUCAACUACACAAAAUCAUGCCUAGAAUCGUUACGAAAAGCCUUUGAAAUUGAAACCCACUAGAAAACAUGAAAGCAAACAAGAAACCACAACUCCCUAGGAUCUCUCAACACCUCUAAACACCCUACAAUUCCGUUCAUCCCACAAAACCCAUAAAACCCGAUGCACACUAGCAAGCCAAAGAAAGGGACCUCUCUCCCCAAGCAGCUAUGGCAAUGAAAAAGCAGAACAUUUAAUUGGUAAAUGUGUAACAAAGGGUUUAGAAUUGGGCCAAUGCAUAACCUGAUGACCUCCAUUCCAGUUUACUUAUGCAAGGAAUAGUACUUAUGUGAUGGGUCGAGAACCAAAGAGUUGUUGAAAUACUAAUUAAAAAAGUUAUGGAUAGUUAUUUAUUUAUAAAGGGGAAAUGUAUAUCAUUGGUAAAAUGGAAUGAAGGGAGAAAAUCCCAAAAGCUUAAAGGUGGAUUACAUGAAAGGAUCACCAUUCACCAAUUAGCAAUUGAUGUAAUGAGACUAUAAUCAGUAAAAAGAGAGGUCUCUGAAGAUGUGACCAUUCCUUUCUUAUCCAAGAGAAAAAGAAGGCUUGGUUAAGAGCAAACCAUAAUAAUUUCUUCACACCAUGGAUAGGAUGACUCACAAAACUAGAAGCAAGGAGAUCAUAAAUGUUAUUUGGUAAGGCCAAAGAUUAUCCAAAAGCAUCUAAAAUAGUAAUUUGAUGCAAAGGAGCAAUAAUUAUCCUUCCGAUACAUAGAGUAAAGACUAUUGGCACUUGAUGUAGGUAUGCCAAUAACAGCCUCCAUAAGAGAAUUAACUGUAAAAUUGUUGGAGGGAUCCAACUGCCAAGACCAAUAACCGUCUAGGUUCCUUAUGAGAAAGAUUGAGAAAUCAUUGAGGUUACGACAAAAACUCAAAUAUACCCCUAGCAAUCUGAUUGGAGUUCCAAACAUCAGCUGUUGUGCUAGACUGUCUAACCAUUGACGAAGAAAUGAGGGAAAACGGCAACAGUGGACCAUCCUUUGUUCUCUCAGCUCAUUAGUGCCUUAUUGGGAAUGGAUCAACUACCUAUUUUUGAACUGGGGUUGGAGUUUGAAGAAUUUAGGUUAUGCAACAAAGCUCUCUUGGCUAAAUGGCUUUAGCAUUUUGCUCAUGAGCACGAAUCCUUGAGGCAUAAGAUUAAUGCAAGUAAGCAUGGACCUAACCCCUUUGAAUGGGUGGCAAAAGAGGUUAAAGGCACGCAGCAAAAUUUUUGGAAAGAUAUUUCGCUUGAGCUCCUUUCUUUCUCCCAAACAUCAGGUAUUGUACUAGUCAGCCUAACCAUGGGACGAAAAAGAUGAGGGAAAACGGCAACAAUGGGCCAUCCUUUGUUCUCAGUUCAUUAGUGCCCCAUUGGGGAUGAAUCAACUACCUAUUUUUUAAUUGGGGGGUCGGAGUUUGAAAAUCUUAGUUUACACAACAACACUCUUUUGGCUAAAUGGCUUUAGCAUUAAGCUCAUGAGCUCAAAUCCUUGUGGCAUAGGGUUAUUGCAAGCGAUUAAGCAUGGCCCCAAUGCUUUCGAAUGGGUGGCAAAAGGGGUUAAAGGCACGCGGCAAAAUUUUUGGACAAAUAUUUUGCUUGAGCUCCCUUCUUUCUCCCAUCUUGCUCAUUGUGUUGUUGAGAAGCUAAAGAAACUUUUUUUUUUUUUGAAAGAUCAAUGGGUGGGGGAUAAGCCCCUUUGCUAUUAUGCAUACUCAUUUGUAGCAUUUGUCUUCCUUUAAAAAUCAUCCGGUCUCUAAUUUCUUGGCUUGUGCCUUUUUCUUUGGUUUCCAUUGUUCAGUCCAAUAGGGAAAUGACGGAGGUAGCUGCUCUUCUUUCUUUACUUGAAGAGUUCUACUUUAGGCUUGGGAGAUGAGAUUCUCGUAUUUGGAGCCUAAUCCUAGUGUGAUUGUCGGUUGAUCAGUGUCAGUUCUAGGUUCAAACCGUUGCCAACCACCAAAAUUUUGGUUGUUGUCAAUUGAUGUUUGUUGGUUGAUCAUGGUAAUGUCGAUCAACCAACUUGUAGAUCCGUUGGUCAAUUUUCUUGGUAUCAUGUCUCUAGGGUGCUGGCUGAAAAAAGAAAAAUAAGACACAAAGGAGGAGAGACCCAAAAGCCAAAAAAGCAGGAACAAAUAAAAUAAAAUAGAAGAAAAAGAAAACAAGAAGAGAAGAAGAACCAACUAGAAGAGAAAGAAAAGGAACAGAAAAAAAAAAAAAAAAAGAAGAGAAAAUGAAAGAAGAAAAGAGAUGAAUAAUGUAACCAGGGAGAAGGAGAAUAAAAGAAAAUAGGAGAGGAAGGAGGGAGAGAAAAAUGGAGAUGAAAGGUGAAAAUUAAGAAAAAAGAAUUGAAGAAUUGAUAUAUAUAUGUGUGUGUGUAUGUAUGUAUAUGUACGUAUGUGUGCAUAUAUGUAUGCAUGUGUGUGUAUAUGCGUGUGUGUAUGUAUGUAUGUAUAUGUGUGCAUGCGUGUGUGUAUAUGUAUUGGUCUUUUUUCUUGUGAUAAGAAACAAUUUCAUUGAUUGAUAAAUGAAAUAUCCGAGGUACGAAGGAGAAACCCAAUAAAAUGAUACAACAUAAACCAACGGGAGGGGGAACAACAAAAUGGUGAGUGAAAAACAACAAAAUGAAAGCUAGAUUGAUGAUUCAAGGAACACAUCCAUCACCGAAACGAUGGGGUGAAGUCCAAAACAACGAUUCAAAGAUCAUCAGACACAACACUCAAUAGGAAAAAAAGCAGAAACUGUUUCCAUAGGUCAGCUGCACAUGUUGAUAAAAGAAGUCUUCAAGAUGAAGAGAAAGUGUCGAUUUGGUAGAUAGUAGAGAUACACAAAUAAUGCAUGGUGAGGCCCAAAAAAAGCAAAAAUUACAAUCAAGCCAGCAAUGACCCCUCUCGGCUCAUAGCAUAUAUUUAGCUUUCUUCUCAAAGGAGAUAGAGCUCUCUAGGUUCCAGAAUUCUCUAAUGCAUUUCCUUUAUUUUGCCGUAUGCCUGUUGCUAUUCUUAGUGGGGAUGGUCAUUAUACGAAGCAAUCAAGUGAGGACCUGGUUUGAAAAACUCAUUUGUGGGGAGGUGUCUAAAAAAAAAAAAAACUCAUUUGUCAGAGGAGGAAUGGAAUGCCAUUAUGCUUCUAUUCCCAAAAAAGAAAAAAAAGAAAAGAAAUAAUACCAUUAUGCUUCAAGAGGAUCCUAAAAGGAUGAAGGAUAAGGGAAACAGGUGGGGGUAGGGAUUGGGUUGGAUAAAUAAUAUUUCGAAUUGGAAUAAUUUUAAAUAGGUAUUCAUUACCUAUAUAGUGAAAACCAUGGAAACUUGCCCAUGGUUUUCACAUCUCAUGUUUUCACGUCGAGUAGUG
rnacentral:lncRNA from 1 species